rnacentral:lncRNA from 1 species
UUCUCAUAACCAUAGCCAGAACCACCAUAGCUCUGCUCCUCGUUCUUCCUGCCAUAGCCAUACCCCGAGGAGCCAUAGGUCUCCUCCUGUGCCUUCCUCCCAUACCCACCACCACCACUGCCAUACUCCUCCCCACCCUGCGGCCUGCUGCCGUACCCAGAUCCAUAGCUCUCCUCAACCUGAGGCUUCCUCCCGUAACCAGAUCCAUAGCUCUCCUCAACCUGCGGCGUCCUCCCGUACCCCGAUCCAUAGCUCUCCUCAAUCUGCGGCUUCCUCCCGAACCCAGACCCAUACUCCGAUCCGUAGCUCUCCUCUACCUGUGGCUUCCUCCCGUAGCCAGAGCCGUAUGUCUCAGCCUGCGGAUUGGCAGAUCCAUACCCUGCUGACCCAUAGCUCUCCUCCGGCCGGGUCUGACCGCCGUAGCCAGAGCCGUACCCGCCGGACCCGUAGCUCUCCUCCGCCUGCGGUUUCCUCCCAUAUCCAGAGCCGUAGCUCUCCUCCUCCUGCUUCUUCCUCCCAUACCCGGAUCCGAAGCCAGAUCCAUAGCCACCGCCCUCCUCCGCAGCGGGCUCGGGCCUGGAUCCGUAGCCGCUGCCGUAAGACGGCUGUUGCUCCUGCUGGGGGCGGAACCCAUAGUUGGGCUUUGGCUUGGCGUGGUGACCGUAGGGGGACGGCUCGGAGGCGGCGUAGUGCGGUGCGUCGUAGGAGGUCGAGGGCGCCGAGCACGGGUAGCAGGUUUCCUCGGACGGUGGCAGCGGGCGACCGAAGGUGACGGCGAGGUCGUACCCACCGCCGUACGGCGUGGGGUCGAACUCAUCGAAGUCGUCCGCCUCCUCGACGGCGCCGCCACGGGGCCUCUCGUAAUACGCGGUGGCCAUGGCGGAUCGCUGAGAUCGGCUGGCUGGUUGAUCAGAUGGCAAGUGGCUAGCGAGGGAUUGGACUUUAGAGCUUUGGUCUGGACUUCUGGAGUGUGGGGGCAGCGAGGGAUUGGCCACUUAUUGGUCUGUGGUAAAACGCGUUGGGGGAGCUCGGGGUGGAUGAGAACCGGGGACGGCGAGACGUGGGGGCACGUGGUCCGGCCAGCGUGAGGAGUCGGUAACGUAGACAGGGACGCUGGAUGCGCGGCGUCGGCGACGGUCGAGGCCGACACCACACGGGCAACAAUGUACAGAUGGCAAUGGUACCGCGACCACAUGUCCGAUGGAUAUUUACUCUAUUAAAGGUAGUUUAGAAACUCAAAUUCUUUUUGGGAUUGAAGAAAAUUAAAGAGCAAAUUAGUUUAUUUUCACUCCAAUCCUCUCUAGUCCCGAAAAAGAUUUGAGGUUUCCAAAGUAGUCCUUAGGGUAUGUAUGUGGGCUAAAUAUUUUACCCGUUGUUCUGUAAUUGGAAAAAAAUCUUCACGCAACGGGUAAACAGGUAUUUAUAACGUUCCGCCUUCACCCAUACCUGUUAACUCGUGAGUAUAAAAUACUCAAUAUAAGUCUAGCUCAAGCAUGAACUAGUACUUUAGUCAUCCAUCUUUUUUUACUAUUUAACAAUCAUUUAGACCAUAAUUGUCGGGGACCAUAAUUAGGGGUACCCUCAAGGCUCCUAAUUCUCAGCUGGUAACCCCCAUCAGCAUAAAGCUGCAAAGGCCUGAUGGGUGCGAUUAAGUCAGGGAUCGGUCCAUUCGAGGGACACGAUCACGCCUCGCCCGAGCCUAGCCUCGGACAAGGGCAGCCGACCCCGGAGGAUCUCGGCCUCGCCCGAGGCCCCCCUCCAGCGGCUAACGUAUUCCCGGCUCGCCCGAGGCCCUGUCUUCGCCAAGAAGCAACCCUGACCAAAUCGCCGCACCGACCGACCAAAUCACAGGAGCAUUUAAUGCAAAGGUGGCCUGACACCUUUAUCCUGACGUGCGCCCUUCAGCCGACAGAGCCGAAGUGACCGUCGUCACUUCGCCGCUCCACUGACCAGCCUGACAGAAAGACAGCGCCGCCUGCGCCGCUCCGACUACGGUGCCACUUGACAGAGUGAGGCUGACAGGCAGUCAGGCCCGGCCGCAGGCGCCAUAGGAAGCUCCGCUCCGCCCGACCCAGGGCUCGGACUCGGGCUAAGCCCCGGAAGACGGCGAACUCCGCUCCGCCCGACCUAGGGCUCGGACUCGGGCUAAGCCCCGGAAGACGGCGAACUCCGCUUCACCCGACCCAGGGCUCGGACUUGGGCUCAGCCCCAGAAGACGACGAACUCCGCUCCGCCCGACCCAGGGCUCGGACUUGGGCUCAGCCCCAGAAGACGACGAACUCCGCUUCGCCCGACCCCAGGGCUCGGACUCCGCCCUGCCUCAGCCGACGGUCUCCGCCUCGCCCGACCCAGGGGCUCGGACUCGACCUCGGCCACGGAAGACAGGCUCGACCUCGGCUUCGGAGGAGCUUCCACAUCGCCCAACCUAGGGCGCAGAUCAGCCACGUCAACAGGAGGCGCCAUCAUCACCCUACCCCAAGCUGACUCGGGCCACGGGGAACAAGACCGGCGUCCCAUCUGGCUCGCUCCACCAGAUAGGCAAUGAUGGCGCCCCGCAUACUCUGUGACGACGGUGGCUCUCGGCCCCCUUACGGAAGCAAGAGGACGUCAGCAAGGACUCGACAGCCCCGACAGCUGUCCCUCCGCCAAGCUCCAGCGCUCCUCCGACGGCCACGACAUCACACAAACCGGACGCCAAAACCUCUCCGGCCGCCACGAUGGCGUGUACUUAGGGCGCUAGCUCUCCCCCGCUAGACACGUAGCACUCUGCUACAUCCCCCAUUGUACACCUGGAUCCUCUCCUUACGCCUAUAAAAGGAAGGACCAGGGCCCUCUUAGAGAUGGUUGGGCCGCGCGGGGACGAGGACGAGACAGGCGCUCGCUUGAAGCCGCUCGCUCCCUCUCCCGCGUGGACGCUUGUAACCCCCUACUGCAAGCGCACCCGACCUGGGCGCGGGACGAACACGAAGGCCGCGGGAUUUCCACCUCUCUCACGCCUGUCUCCGGCCACCUCACUUCCCCCCUUCGCGCUCGGCCUCGCGUCGACCCAUCUGGGCUGGGGCACGCGGCGACAUUCACUCGUCGGCUUAGGGACCCCCCGGUCUCGAAACGCCGACAGUUGGCGUGCCAGGUAGGGGCCUGCUGCGUGUUGACGAACAGCUUCCCGUCAAGCUCCAGAUGGGCAGUCUCCAGCAACCUCUCCAACCCGGGACGGUGCUCCGUUUCGGGAGUCUUGAGUUCUUGUCCCUCGACGGCAGCUACGACAUGAUACUCAUUCCACCGCCGGGCGACAGCGACAAUGGCGGCCGACAGCCCGCCCGCCGCCGGCGGAAUCAACGACGUCUUCCCCGCGUGGUCGAAGAACAACCUUCGAGCUCACCCCGCCCUCUUCCCCGCCGACGGAGGGGGAGGCGGGGCAACCAAGGCCAAGCAGGAGGCAGCGCCUCGUCGGCUGUCGAGCGAGUCGAUAGCACCAGCACCCCAACGGGGGGCGCACCGGGCAUCGACCUCGCGCUUGAGACGAAGACGAGCGUCGUCUCCCCGCAACGCGCCGAUUCCGGGCAAACGGACGACGCCAGCGCGCUCACGAAAGGCUUGCUAGACGUCACCCUCGUACCUGAGACGACGGUGCAGUCAGUCCCCGACGUGACUUCAUCACCGCCCGUCGACCAAGAGGUACCGACCGAUUCCCAACCCACGUCUUUCGGAUUCAGCCUCGACCCGCCUAGCGGCUUCGCUUUGGCGGGCGCUCUCAUAGAGGCAAGUCCAAACCCUCUGGGGUUUCGUAUGCGGUCACCUUGGGACCGGCUGGCGGACGUCUCGACCUACGGGCCCUCUGGGUCCGAGGAAGACGACGAGCCCAGCUUCUGUUGGGAUUUCUCUGGACUUGGCAACCCCAGUGCCAUGCGGGACUUCAUGGCCGCAUGCGACUACUGCCUUUCCGACUGUUCCGACGGUAGCCGUAGCCUCGGCGACGAGGACUGUGGCCCAAGCCGCGAAUGUUUCCACAUCGAUCUAGGGGGUCCCUCCGAAGGCAACCAUCUCGGCAUGCCGGAGGACGGUGAUCUCCCUAGGUCGGUGCCUCACGUUGACAUCCCACGGGAGCUAGCUGUGGUCCCCGUUCAGGUGGGGGGGCAUGACCCACAGCUCGAGCAAAUCCGCGGGGUGCAGGCCAGGAUCGACGAGGGAGCAGGAGCGCUUGAGCCGAUCCGCCGGGACGUCGGGCAGGCAUGGCCGGGCCAACCUCCGGCCGGAGAAAAACAUCAUCUACCCCAGGGCUUCCAGCACCGCAUCGCCGACGAUGUCAGGGUCAGGCCGCCACCCGCAUCCAGUGGGGUUGGCCAGAACCUGGCUGCAGCAGCAAUGCUCCUCCGCGCGAUGCCGGAGCCAUCAACCACCGAGGGGCGGCGAAUCCAGGGAGAGCUCAAGAAUCUCCUGGAAGGCGCCGCGGUCCGGCAGGCCGAGAGCUCCGCCUCCCGAAGGCAGGGGUACCCCUCGGAACAUCAUGCCGCGACUUCCCGAUUCAUGCGGGAAGCCUCGGUCUACACCGGGCGCACGCGCAACACAGCGCCUGCGGGCCCGGGUCGCCUCGGCAACGAGCACCAUCACCGCGACCGUCGAGCCCACCUCGACGAGAGGGUGCACCGAGGCUACCACCCUAGGCGUGGGGGGCGCUACGACAGCGGGGAGGAUCGGAGUCCCUCGCCCGAACCACCUGGUCCGCAGGCCUUCAGCCGGGCCAUACGACGGGCGUCGUUCCCGACCCGGUUCCGACCCCCGACUACAAUCACGAAGUACUCGGGGGAGACGAGACCGGAACUGUGGCUCGUGGACUACCGUCUGGCCUGCCAACUGGGUGGAACGGACGAUGACAACCUCAUCAUCCGCAACCUCCCCCUGUUCCUCUCCGACACUGCUCGCGCCUGGUUGGAGCACCUGCCUCCGGGGCAGAUCUCCAAUUGGGACGACCUGGUCCAAGCUUUUGCCGGAAAUUUCCAGGGCACGUACGUGCGCCCUGGGAAUUCCUGGGACCUUCGGAGCUGUCGACAGCAGCCGGGAGAGUCUCUCCGAGACUACAUCCGGCGAUUCUCAAAGCAGCGCACCGAGCUCCCCAACAUCACCGACUCGGAUGUCAUCAGCGCGUUCCUCGCCGGCACCACUUGCCGCGACCUGGUGAGCAAGCUGGGUCGCAAGACCCCCACCAGGGCGAGCGAGCUGAUGGACAUCGCCACCAAGUUCGCCUCCGGCCAGGAGGCGAUCGAGGCUAUCUUCCGGAAGGACAAGCAGCCCCAGGGCCGCCCUUCGGAAGAUGCCCCCGAGGCGUCAACUCAGCGCGGCGCCAAGAAGAAGGGCAAGAAGAAGUCGCAAGCGAAACGCGACGCCGCCGACGCGGACCUUGUCGCCGCCGCCGAGUACAAGAACCCUCGGAAACCCCCCGGAGGUGCCAACCUCUUCGACAAGAUGCUCAAGGAGUCAUGCCCCUACCACCAGGGGCCCGUCAAGCACACCCUUGAGGAGUGUGUCAUGCUUCGGCACCACUUCCACAGGGCCGGGCCACCCGCGGAGGGUGGCAGGGCCCACGACGACGACAAGAAGGAAGAUCACCAGGCAGGAGAGUUCCCCGAGGUCCGCGACUGCUUCAUGAUCUACGGUGGGCAAGCGGCGAACGCCUCGGCUCGGCACCGCAAGCAAGAGCGUCGGGAGGUCUGUUCAGUGAAGGUGGCGGCACCAGUCUACCUAGACUGGUCCGACAAGCCCAUCACCUUCGACCAAGCCGACCACCCCGACCACGUGCCGAGCCCGGGGAAAUACCCACUCGUCGUCGACCCCGUCAUCGGCGACGUCAGGCUCACCAAGGUCCUCAUGGACGGAGGCAGCAGCCUCAACAUCAUCUACGCCGAGACCCUCGGGCUCCUGCGUGUCGAUCUGUCCUCGGUCCGGGCAGGCGCUGCGCCUUUCCAUGGGAUCAUCCCCGGGAAGCGCGUCCAGCCCCUCGGACAACUCGACCUUCCCGUCUGCUUCGGAACACCCUCCAACUUCCGAAGGGAGACCCUGACGUUCGAGGUGGUCGGGUUCCGAGGAACCUACCACGCGGUACUGGGGAGGCCAUGCUACGCGAAGUUCAUGGCCGUCCCCAACUACACCUACCUGAAGCUCAAGAUGCCGGGCCCCAACGGGAUCAUCACCGUCGGCCCCACGUACAAACACGCGUUCGAAUGCGACGUGGAGUGCGUGGAGUACGCCGAGGCCCUCGCCGAGUCCGAGGCCCUCAUUGCCGACCUGGAGAGCCUCUCUAAGGAGGUGCCAGACGUGAAGCGUCAUGCCGGCAACUUCGAGCCAGCGGAGACGGUUAAGUCUGUCCCCCUCGAUCCCAGCAGUGACGCCUCCAAGCAAGUCCGGAUCGGCUCCGAGCUCGAUCCCAAAUAGGAAGCAGUGCUCGUCGACUUUCUCCGCGCGAACGCCGUCGUCUUCGCGUGGAGUCCCUCGGACAUGCCCGGCAUACCGAGGGAUGUCGCCGAGCACUCGCUGGACAUCCGAGCCGGAGCCUGACCCGUCAAGCAGCCUCUGCGCCGAUUCGACGAGGAGAAGCGCAGAGCCAUAGGCGAGGACAUCCACAAGCUAAUGGCGGCAGGGUUCAUCAAAGAGGUAUUCCAUCCCGAAUGGCUUGUCAACCCUGUGCUUGUGAGAAAGAAAGGGGGAAAUGGCGGAUGUGUGUAGACUACACUGGUCUCAACAAAGCAUGUCCGAAGGUUCCCUACCCUCUGCCUCGCAUCGAUCAAAUCGUGGAUUCCACUGCUGGGUGCGAAACCCUGUCUUUCCUCGAUGCCUACUCAGGGUAUCACCAAAUCAGGAUGAAAGAGUCCGACCAGCUCGCGACUUCUUUCAUCACACCCUUCGGCAUGUACUGCUAUGUCACCAUGUCGUUCGGCUUGAGGAAUGCGGGCGCGACGUACCAGCGGUGCAUGAACCAUGUGUUCGGCGAACACAUUGGCCGCACGGUCGAGGCCUACAUCGAUGACAUCGUAGUCAAGACGAGGAAAGCCUCCGACCUCCUUUCCGACCUUGAAGUGACAUUCCGAUGUCUCAAGGCGAAAGGCGUCAAGCUCAAUCCCGAAAAGUGUGUCUUUGGGGUGCCCCAAGGCAUGCUCUUGGGGUUCAUUGUCUCCAAGCGGGGCAUCGAAGCCAACCCGGAGAAGAUCGCAGCCAUCACGCAGCACCCCGAGCCCUUGUUGGAGACACCCGGGGGCUACACGCACCCCUGGGAAGGGCCGCUUGUCAUCGCCAAAGUUCUGAAGCCCUGGACAAACGAACUGGCCGACAGUCAAGGCGAGGCCUACACCAACACUUCGAACGUCUAACAGCUACGUUGCUUCUACCCUUAAGAUGCUUUCAAGUUGUCCCCUUACCUUGCCCCCACGCAAGUUUUAGUCGUCAAGGAAGGGUCAGCCUUGCCUCGGCAUAGCCCGACCCUCCCUCGGGGGCUAAAAAGGGGGAACCCCUCUGCGUCAAAAUUUUCAAUCGAAAAGGCUUUUGCGUUCCCCCGGCUAUGUCGGAAGCAGGACCCCAAGGAGCGAACGCGGGUGCAUGUAAGUGGCAAGGCAGACUGAGCCGAGGGACUCCUACGCCUCCGGGUUACGGACACCUCACUCGUCACCCGCCACGAAAAGUGACCCCUACUUGGGGAAGCCACCCUACUACUGACAGGCGGAGCCGGACACGCAAAAUGAAAGGGAAAGGAGUACGACUCCAUGCAACGGUAACAAAGUGUUCAGGCCUCAGCGGCCGCAGAAAGACACACGUGCAUCCAACAGAAACUGCUCCGACAGAGUUAGGCGUCGCCCCGGGAAGGAGCCGCGCCUUCGGCUUCGUCCCCGCCCUCGGCAAAGUCCAUCCCGGCUUCGGACGACGGCGCAGGCGGGAGGAUCUCUGCCUCAAAGGUGGUCGCCAGCACUGCGCUCGGACCCGCGGCGACCGCAUCGAGCCUCUGGACUUCUGCCAGGGCGGCUUCAUCUUCGUCAGGAAGGCAAUACCCCUCGCUGACCCGCUCUAGGUCCACGACGUAGUGGGAAGCGAGCACGGCGAAGGCCCGCCUGACGCCGUGGUGAAGCGCCUCGCGGAGUCUGCCGCGCACAUGAUCGCCCAAGACCUGCAGGCGACUUUGAGGGGAGCUUCCUGAGGGGACGUCGCCGGAGCCAAGGACCCGGCAAAAGUCCGAGACGGCCUCGGACAUGGCCGCGUGGUCGGCCUCCCUCUGCUCGGCCGCCCUGGCAAGCGCCUCGACAAGCGCCUUGGCGGACUCAUCAAGGGCGGACUCGAGUUCUGCGAACAGCCAGAAGAAAGAUCUCAAACACAAGCGAAGGAAACAAGCAGAAACAAAAACCGAAGAUGGCCAAGGCGUACCUCCGGCUCGGGCACGCUGCUCCGAGGCUGCGACCUGGGCUACGGCUAGGUCGGCUGCAAGGGCUUCAGCCCGGCUUUCGGCCUCGGCAGCCCGGCCCCGAGAUUGGUCCCGCUCAUUGACGAUCCGGUCGAACUCCGACUGCUGUCGUUGCACUUCUGCGCGCGCCGCGGCCGCCUCCGCACGUGCCGCUGCCGCCUCGGCUCUCAGAUCGGUGCAGAGCAACCGAAGGUCCGCUGCCUCGGCACCCUGCUGAGAGAGGCGCGCAGUAGCCCCGGCGAGCGAGGUCCUCAGGGAUCGCAGCGAGCCCCAGACGUCGACCUCGCGGCGGAUGAACGACGACUUGGCGGUGCUCAGAUCCGUCAGAUCCUGAGGAAAGGAAGCGGGGCGUCACAAAAGACGCCUUGGCCACAAAAAAGAAAAGGUAUGCCUGAAACCGUUACCUGGAGGAUUUUGGGGACGUCCCUGCAGAAAACCUCCAGCGACGACCGGAGCGACCCCACCGUUGCUUCGGCACACUCGCGGAGCUCGUCCCAGGACUGCUCCUCCCGCUCAUCGUCGAGAACGAAGAAGGGAUCCGAGGCCCCGCGGGUCUGGAACCAGAGCAACUGGCGCCGACCCUCGGAGCUCCACCGCGCAGCGACAAGGCUGCCGCUCGGCGGGACGGAUCGCGUCUCCACGCCCCCCUCCUCCGAGGCACCAAGCGCCGACGCCUCGGCCGUCUCAGCGUCGGCGGCGACGAGUCGCUCCCCGACUGGGACGGCAGCGGCUUCAGUAGCAGCAGGUGCCAGCACCGCCGGCAUGUCCGGUGGGGCUGGGGCCACGUCCGCGUCAGCUGCCUCCCCUAGCACGAUGGCUGCCUCGGCAGAAGAGCCGGCCUCGGGAACUCGCUCCACGGCGACUGGUGCCGCCUGAGCCCCCUGAUGUGGAGCGCCUUGCGAGAAGGUCAGCUGAACGGCAAGGCCCGAAGUGGCGCCAGCUGCGGAGGCCGACGCCGUCUUAAGGGCCUUUCGGGGGCCAGAUCGGUCAGGCCAUGGCUUCGCUUGGUGAGGAGGAGAGAAAAAUCACGGUCGGGACAUACGACUGAAAAGCCAGGACGAAGACGUUCCAAGAUACUUACCCGCUUCAGGCCACGAUCAACCGUGCCUGAGGGGAGGUCUCUCGGAUCUCGACCCCCGAAGCCGCCGCCGAGGUCCGCUUCGCCGGUAGCUUCGGCACCACCCUUGCUUUGGGCGCUUUGGACGCCCGCGAGACGGACUGCCCAGGCACCGCCAUGGCGACCUGAGGGUCGCUCUCCUGCGCUGCCGGCGUGGGCGACGGCUCUCGGGGAACAGGCGCCUCGGCCCGGCUCCCCGGGGUCGCCUCAACUCCCCCAGCCGAGGGGUCAGGUACCCUCUCGGUCUGCCCCCGCUCUUCAGGCCGGGACCUCGGCGUCCCGACUCCAGGGACUGACGGCAUCAGCCCACUCGGGGGCUGGCUCGACGGCUCCUGGCCUAACCUCAAGCCAGGGCUGAAGCCGAGGCGGGCAGCCAUGUCGUCUUCCUCGUCAUCAUCUUCAUCAUCAUCGUUGUCAUCAGGCGUUUCGGCGACGGCUCCCUCGGGAGUCCCUCCCUCUCCUGUCGACGACGGAGCUUUUCCAAGGCGUCCCGAGCCCGCAUCCGCUCGCGAGCCCGGGCCUUCUCCGCGUCCUUCUUUUUCUUCUUCUCCUCCGCGGCAACCCACCGCGCUGCUCGGUCCACCGCAUCCUGCGGGACCCGUGGCAGGGAAGGCUUGUGCCACCCUACCUCCUGAAGACGGAUGGAAAUCCCGACCAUAAGAACCAGGGGCAACCCGAUGCGAGAGGAAGGAAGAAGCGGACACUCACCAGAGUCACGCACCCUUGGUCAGGGCGCAUCAAAGGCUGGGAGAAGGCGGUGGGGUCCGGUUUCCCCGACGCGACAGCCACCCGCCCGUGGAGAACAUCGAAGGGAAGAGGAUCGGAGGACAUCCGCGAGCCCUCCAAGUCAGCAUCCGGCAUCAUCUCCCAGAGCGGCAACCGUCGCUCCGCCAAGGGAAGCACCCUCCGGCGGUGGAUGGCGGCAAUCACUCCCGCGGCGGUGAGUCCCCCUCUCCGCAAUGCCUCCAAGGCCUUGAGAAGGGGUUCGAGGUUCUUCUGUCUUUCGUGCGGGGUCCCGUGGCGCCAAGCAUCGGCAGCGACGGUGACUACUCGCUGGGAAAACGGCGGGAGCAACUCGCCGUCAUUCCGGAGGUAGAACCACCGGCGUUGCCACCCUUUGUUCGAGGACGCAAGGAUGGCAGGAAUAUACAGCGACGCCCGCGACUGCCUCAGCUGAAGGAUGCAGCCGCCGGCCCGCACUGCCGCGCGGACCUUUCUCUCCCCCGUCGGUGAAGCGAAAAGCUCCGCGAAAAAGAGAUGAGUCCACAAGUCCCAGUGGGGGCGAUCCCCAAGUACCCCUCGCACACCGUUACGAAGAUGGCAGCCUGCGAGAUGGAGUUGGGGCUGAGGUUGUGCAACUCCACCCCGUAGUGGUGCAGAAUCGCCCGCAUAAAGCGGCUCGCCGGCACACCAAAUCCCCGCUCGUGGAAGGAGACGAAGCUUACGAUGUACCCCGGCGGUGGGGACGGAGCGGCUCCGCCCACGGGGGGAAUCCAUUCCGGCCGCCUCUCAUCAGAGAGAGGGCGAAGUAAACCCUCAGCAACAAGAUCCUCCAGAUCGCCCACCGUCACUGUGGAGGAAGGCCAUGGGUCGCGCGGCGAGACGAUGGUCACCCGGUCAGCCAUCACCGAGCAGAAGGGGUGGCGGCGCAAAGGACAGGGUGGGCGGUUUCCUUUUCUCUGGCUAAGUCUCUCGGUUUGCGAAAACCUAAGAGGGAGGCAGGAAGCGGAGCAAAGAGCCAUCGCCAGACCCUCCUCCGAGUAUAUAAAGAUCAAGGCGAGACCGGUUCAACGUUCCGCCCGGACCGGCCGCGGAAUUCAAAAACACGAAGCGAAACAGUCGUUCCUCGAACGGCUCGCACACGCGCAACGGCCGCCCCGCGAACCGCACGCCCCGUCGCAUUAACUCCACGGCGGGAAAGGCGGCGCCUCUGGCAGGAGAAGGGAGCGAUGCUUCGCCUUCGCCAUAAUGAUCGCGUCGAAAAAGGUACGCCGCGUCGUUCGACUUCGUAUCCUUUUCCUUUUUUCCUCUUUCUCUCUCUUGCAACAGGGACCAGGAAAGGGGGAUACCCCGAAAAGGAUCCUUCCCCGUGAAGGAACCAGGCUCCGAGCCUCCCUACUGAUCAGAGGUUCGAAGGCUGGCCCCUCGGAAGGGUUCAACAGCCGCCUCAGAGCACGUGGGCUCCACACCCACUACUGGUCAGAGGUUCGAAGGCCGGCCCCUCGGAAGGGUUCAACGACCGCCUCAGGCUACUCGGGCUCCGCACCCACUACUGAUCAGGGGUUCGAAGGCUGGCCCCCGAAGGGUUCACAGUCGCCUCAGACGCAGAGCGAGGGAUGACCAUGGGUACGUUCGAUACAUAACCGAGGCUCGGGCUGCGCUCCCGAGGUACCCUAGGACAUUUCCGAGACCAGCGGGAACGAUCUUGUAACGGAAUCCCAUCGGAGGGAGGCAUCGAGCCCUCGGACCCCGUCGCCAGGGGACCGGGUCCGGCAGAUCACCCGCAGGUACUUUUGGGCGUGCCUCUGGGCCUCUAGCCGACCCCUAACGAAUGGGGCACGGACGUCCACUCGGAUUACUCGCCUGCAGCUCACCGGAGACACCAUGUUCAGCGCCCACCGAGGGCAACAUGGCGCUUUCCCCCCUCCUCCUUGCAGAAAGGCGACGCAAGGGCGUAUGUAAAAAAGUCGAGUCUGUCCCUGAUCGCCCUCUCGCCCUGUGCGGAGGCUCGGGGGCUGCUCUCGCAAACCUGGCUCCGGCCGAACCGUUGACAGCGUCAACAUACCAGCCCGAGAACUUGGGACCCAACUGUACACCCAGGCUACGGCCAGCUCGCAUGAGGGAACGACCAGACCAGCCGAAGCAUUACGCGAGGCAUUAAGACCUCGAAGGAGUCAAACCACUCCUCCGAGGCCUCGGGGGCUACACCCGGCGGGUGCGCUCGCGCGCACCCACCGGAACAAAAAACAACCGAGAAAGGCUGGUCCCCUUGCAAAAAAGUGCGACGAAAGCCUCCAAGCGAGUGCUAACACUCCCUUCGAGGCUCGGGGGCUACUGUUGGGGACCAUAAUUAGGGGUACCCUCAAGGCUCCUAAUUCUCAGCUGGUAACCCCCAUCAGCAUAAAGCUGCAAAGGCCUGAUGAGUGCGAUUAAGUCAGGGAUCGGUCCAUUCGAGGGACACGAUCACGCCUCGCCCGAGCCUAGCCUCGGACAAGGGCAGCCGACCCCGGAGGAUCUCCGCCUCGCCCGAGGCCCUCCUCCAGCGGCUAACGUAUUCCCGGCUCGCCCGAGGCCCUAUCUUCGCCAAGAAGCAACCCCGACCAAAUCGCCGCACCGACCGACCAAAUCACAGGAGCAUUUAAUGCAAAGGUGGCCUGCCACCUUUAUCCUGACGCGCGCCCUUCAGCCGACAGAGCCGAAGUGACCGCCGUCACUUCGCCGCUCCACUGACCAGCCUGACAGAAAGACAGCGCCGUCUGCGCCGCUCCGACUACGGUGCCACUUGAUAGAGUGAGGUUGACAGGCAGUCAGGCCCGGCCGCAGGCGCCAUAGGAAGCUCCGCUCCGCCCUACCCAGGGCUCGGACUCGGGCUAAGCCCCGGAAGACGGCGAACUCCGCUCCGCCCGACCCAGGGCUCGGACUCGGGCUAAGCCCCGGAAGACGGCGAACUCCGCUCUGCCCGACCCAGGGCUCGGACUUGGGCUCAGCCCCAGAAGACGACGAACUCUGCUUCACCCGACCCAGGGCUCGGACUUGGGCUCAGCCCCAGAAGACGACGAACUCCGCUCCGCCCGACCCAGGGCUCGGACUUGGGCUCAGCCCCAGAAGACGACGAACUCCGCUUCGCCCGACCCCAGGGCUCGGACUCCGCCCUGGCCUCAGCCGACGGUCUCCGCCUCGCCCGACCCAGGGGCUCGGACUCGACCUCGGCCACGGAAGACAGGCUCGACCUCGGCUUCGGAGGAGCUUCCACAUCGCCCAACCUAGGGCGCAGAUCAGCCACAUCAACAGGAGGCGCCAUCAUCACCCUACCCCAAGCUGACUCGGGCCACCGGGAACAAGACCGACGUCCCAUCUGGCUCGCUCCACCAGAUAGGCAAUGAUGGCGCCCCGCAUACUCUGUGACGACAGUGGCUCUCGGCCCCCUUACGGAAGCAAGAGGACGUCAGCAAGGACUCGACAGCCCCGACAGCUGUCCCUCCGCCAGGCUCCAACGCUCCUCCGACGACCACGACAUCACACAAACCGGGCGCCAAAACCUCUCCGGCCGCCACGAUGGCGUGUACUUAGGGCGCUAGCUCUCCCCCGCUAGACACGUAGCACUCUGCUAUAUCCCCCAUUAUACACCUGGAUCCUCUCCUUACGCCUAUAAAAGGAAGGACCAGGGCCCUCUUAGAGAGGGUUGGGCCGUGCAGGGACGAGGACGAGACAGGCGCUCGCUUGAAGCCGCUCGCUCCCUCUCCCGCGUGGAUGCUUGUAACCCCCUACUGCAAGCGCACCCGACCUGGGCGCGGGACGAACACGAAGGCCGCGGGAUUUCCACCUCUCUCACGCCUGUCUCCGGCCACCUCACUUCCCCCCUUCGCGCUCGACCUCGCGUCGACCCAUCUGGGCUGGGGCACGCGGCGACAUUCACUCGUCGGCUUAGGGACCCCCCGGUCUUGAAACGCCGACAAUAAUGUAAUAGAAGGCUUAACAACAAUUUAAUGAUCAUGUAAUGGAACAUGUAAUGUGCUAUGUAGUACUAUCAUAAUGUUACUAUUUUAUCUUAUUAUCUUUGGUGUGUUGAAUGGAUGGUUAAAUGAUGCUAGAAAUUUUGUAAUGUUAUUUAGAUGGAUAUACUUGAUAUUUGUAUUAUAUAAUAUUUUGAUAGAUGUUUAAUUUUUAUGGGUACGGGUGACCCGAUGGGUGACACAUACCCACAUGAGUAUGGGUAUAGGGGUAAAUCAAUAUCCACCAGUGUAUAUGAGUGACUCGAUAGAUUAUUUUUGUGUCGUAAGUAUAGAUAUGUGGUAGUAAUACCCGGUGGUUAUUUAAUCGUUGCCAUCUCUAGCAACAUGUAGUAUGAUGGUCGCGAGGAGGAGCACGGCGGGAUGGCCGGCCACGCUGCCACGCAUGACGCGUCACGGCCACCGACGCGCGGGCCACCACACCCGCAGAAACCACGAGAACCAGAGCCAAGCUAGUAAGGCUAUGCGCAACGCUGCCCCCUUGGCAGCCCCCUCCCCUUGCAUGCGGCGCGUAGGGGGCACUCUACGGUCGCAGCGGUGCCCCCUACGGCGCCCCCCACGCGCCGACCCCCUUCUCUCUCCCCCAGAUAUAGCGUGUCACUGUUCAUCCCCCCAAACACUGUGUUGUGGGUCCACGAUUAUUUGUUAGUAGAUAAAAAAAUUGAUAGUUGGUAUAGAAAAUGAUAUUUUAUAGUGGUAGUGGGAUAUAGGGGGAGUAUUUAGGGGGAACCGUUGCGAGAGAUGAAAAAAUAGAGGGAAAAAUAGGGGGAAAAAGUGAUAUAGGGGGAAAAAUUUAGGGGUAACGGUUGCGGAUAGCCUAACAAUCCAGAAAGGCACGGGGGCAGCCAAGCGCACCGUUACCGUGCGCCUGUGUCGCGCUCAUGCAUGGCACACACUGGCACCUAGAGAUGGCAAUGGGUACCCGCUACCCGAAACCUGGUAGGUUUUUGCUCUAUUAGGGUAUGGGUUUGGGUCAAUUUCUGUAUCCAUGAGUUUGUUAAUGGGUUCAAAUGGAAACCCAACGGGUACGUGGGCAUGGGUUUGUUCUUCCACUACCCAUACCCGCAAACCUACGGGUUUUUAAAACCCGCCUUAAAAUCAAUAUUCCUGAUAAAUAUGUCUCAUAAUAUUAUUAAUUGAAUAUGUUCUAAUUGAAAUAAACUUCGUGUAACAAAUUUUAAGCUAAAAUUAGUUAUCACUUGUUCCUUUUAUGCUAGCUUAUUAAUGUAUUGAUUGUCAUUUACAUGAUGAAUUAUUUUUUAUGUUGAUGUUAGUGGGUAUGGGAAACCCGUUGGGUACCCGAAACCCGCAUGGGUAUGGGUUUGGGCAAAAUUUUAUACCCGUCAUGGGUAUGGGUUUUUUAGCGGGCGUAUUUUUUCUUCGCGGGUAUGGGUUUGGACAAGUAAUACCCAACGGGUUUUUACCCAUUGCCAUCUCUACUGGCACCUGCCAGUUGCCACCGUCCGGACGGUCGACGGGUCGAGCACUAGUCACGGUUGGGACGUUGGAUUGUGCACUUGGGGUAGUGAUGGAUUCAGAUAUCUGGAGAUCCGAAUUAUUCGUAUACAUAUUCAGAUAAAGUGCUAAUAUGGAUAUUCGUAUUUGUAUUCGAUUUUAAUAUGGAUGUUAAAUAGAAAUAUCUAAAUUUUGUUUUUCUCUAUCUAGUUUAAUAUUCGUAUUCGACAAAAUCGUGAAAUAUCCGAUACUAUUCGUAUCUGAAAGGGAAAAGUAUUCGAUAAAAAUCAAUUUAAACUUACUGUUAUUACUAAUUACAAGUGAUUUUAGAUUUUAAAUAAUGUACUAAAAAACUGAUGUACACCAUUUAAAUUGUUUAAAAAUUAUUCAUAUCAUAGUGUUAAUCUUACAUAACUAGUGAUAUACAAUGAUAAAUUUUAAUUAAUAUUAAAAGUCUAAUUUUGAAUAUAUUAUUGGAGUUUUUAGAGUCCAACAUACAAAUAUACUUAAUAUAAAAAAAUAUUAUAUUUAAAGUCCAAAAUAUAAAUAUACCAUGUAUAAAUAAGUUAUUUAAAAAAUGAUAUUCAACUAAAUAAUAUAUAUGUACUAUUGUUCAUAAUUUAAUUAUAAUAUGAUAUUUAUCAACUACAAACAUAUCGAUAAAAACAAAUUAAUACUUGUUAUGAUGCUAUGUUUCAAAUCAAGUAAGUAUCCGAAUGUGAAUCCGAAUUCGAACUAUUCGUUUUGUAUUCGUAUCCGAUAGUAUUCGUAUUCGAAUUAAAAUAUGGUAAAUAGUGACAUUCGUAUUCGUUUCCAUGCGUAUCCGAUCCGAAUCUAUCCCUAACUUGGGAGGUCUUGGGUUGACGGGCUCGGGCUCGACACGACAGUUAGUUCAUCCAGUGAGCGCGCGCGACCGUGGGGGGCAGGCCAGCACAGGCACCCGGCUUUGCCUUCGCCGUGGUCCAGGCCUGGCGCCCAAAUAGGGGUGGAAACGAGCCGAGCCGGCUCGCUCAUGCAACGAGCCGAGCUCGGCACGACUCGCCCAUCUGGCGAGCUCGAAAAAGCGGCUCAGCUCGGCUCGCUCCGGGCUCGCCGAGCCAACGAGCCUAGCCAUAAAUGUAAAUUUGCGCUCUAAAUUGUAAUAUAAAAUCUUAAGAAUAUUUUAAAUAACAUAUUUUAAAUUAGUAAAAUAGAUAUAUCACUAAUAUAAUAUAGAAAAUAGAUUAUUUUUAUAUAGUAAUCUCAAAUAACAUAAAUUGUUGUCUACUCGGUACUAAUAUUAUAUGCUAAUUAAGAUUUUAUGUAACAAAUUGUUGUUGGGUCGAGCCACGAGCCAGCUCGCGAGCUGCACCGAGCCGAGCUGACUCGCUCUUUUCACGAGCCACAAAAACAGGCUCGACUCGGGCUCGUUCUAAGUGUCGAGCCGAGCCGCGAGCCAGCUCGUCGAGCUCGAACUUUUUUCCAGCCCUACGCCCAAACGCACCUACACGCCGACGCGGCACCUGAGUUGGCGCGCUGGCCCUUCGCCCGUGCCGCCGAGCGUAGGGUAUUGUGCUCGCACCAGCCAUGAAAAUCUCGCCUCCAAUCACUAACGCACCAACAUCAACAGUUCAUUCUGCAGCGGUCCAACCAAAGAGUAACAUAUAUGACAUUGUAACCCGAAAGUGGAUGAGACACAAUGAGAGAUUUUUUUAACCAAUCCAAAAAAUUUGCCACUAAAGAAAUUAAACCUGAGUCUCGAAGGAGUUUUCCAUUUGACAUACAAAGCAAAGGAGAUUGGAUAUGAAUACCAGAUAUGCUAUGCCCUAGAAAAUUCCUAACAAAAUCCACCACAUUUCAUGUACAUAUUACAGCCAUGCGACAAACCUUUGCAUCUAGACCCUCCAUUCGCCAAUCGACACCUCUCUCCCUCUCCUAAUAAUAAGAAAAGAAAACAUCACAUGAUAAGACAAAUCGUUGCACAUCUUGUGAAACUGGUUUAAGCAAAGAUUGACAGAACCAUAUCCCUAUUGCAAAGAUAUGUUAACUGCUGGGUACAUAAGCAGAAUGGCAGAUUCUUAUUUUCCAACAGACAUUCACUAGCAGCUCAGAUGGAGUGCCAAUUAGUGGGAUCCAUUGAGAAGGAUACAGAAUAAGUACUGUGAUAACUGAUAUAGGAAAAUGGAAACACCAAUGGUUAUGGCCAUAUGCCAGUGGCAGAUACAGGUAGGGAUGAAAGUGGUAAUCCGAACUGUUAGGACAAAUUUAAUAUUUUAAAAUAGAUAUGUAUAAAAUUUGAUGUUGAUCUUUUCCUAUGUUAUCAAGCACAUUAGUACAAAUAUGAAUAAAAUAUUACAUAAAUUGUUUUAAGUGUUAUUUGGUCCCUACAACACAAAUAGUUGAAAAAAUUAUCGAAUUUGUUUCCGAAUCCAUACCGAAGUUUAUAUCUAUUAUUUAAGAAAAUAUAGCAUAAAUUUAAGGUUUAUCAUCUAUGAAUCUUUACAAGCUGGAUGUUAGAAACAAGAAUACAAAUUUGUAUGGUAGAUUCUAUAUUCUAUUUAUUCGCAAUCAAAGAAAAAACUGAUUACCGAAUAAAUACCGUUUCCGACCGUUUUCAUCCCUAGAUACAGGAUUUCAAUCAUGGGGCAUAGACCUAAACGAUGCAAUUCACUCAAAAUGUAAUAUGACGACUGAAUGACAUUAAAUAGUUAGGUGUGCGGAUAUAAGGAUACAAUUCACCAACAUUUAUCCACAAGUAUAGCCAUUGCCAAUGUCACCGUAAGCAUAUGAGUUUUUUUGCUUCUUUGUUAUCCUUAAUGAACUGAUCAAGAGCCUGUUCUGUUCUGCUUGUACCUGUAUCCCCAUGCACCUGUACUACAUCCGCCCCUGCUAUAUACAAACAUGUUGCGCACAACCGAACCUUACUUUAACGAUGAAACUUGAACGUCUGGCUGUGAUAAUAUUACAUCCAGUGCUAUAAAAGCUUACACCUUAGGGCUAAUUUGGUGACCAGUGAUCACGGGAGGAUUGGAGGGGAUUGAGGGGUAAAUUAGUUCAUUUCCCCCUCAAUCUCCCCGUGAUCCACUUGUCACCAAAUCAACCCUUAAUCUUAUUAUCUUCUAAAAAUUCUACUUCCUUUUCAUACGAAUAAGCAGGGUAUGAAGUAUGAAGAGAUGUUGGUUGCUAGGCCUUGGUUAAUGGUAGGAGGCAUCACUGCAACAGUUGCUAAGUGCAAGUAGCUUCUAGCCUCAAAUAAUUCAGAAACUGAAGGCCAAAAUAGCCACUACACAAUCGUUAGCCCAUCAUUUAAGUGAACUACUAUUUGGUGUCCUCAGCAGAAGAUAUUGAUCUUCCCAUGUAUUAUAAGCAAAUAGCAGAAUUCCUCACAAUGGCUCGCUAAACAUUUCAUUAUUCUUUAUAAAUGUAUUUGUAUUUUUAUACAAAUGCAGUUAUACAUACAUUGGAAAUACAUAAUACAUAUACUUUUGCAUCUUAUUAACCAACGACAAGCUUAAGCCUCCCAUGUUUCCAGUUCUCUAGGUAAUCAUGAGGUGUGUAUCCCGUCAUCAUUAUUUCCAUAGACACAAAAUAGCGAACCAAGGAAAUCUAAGCAUGCCAAAUUUAUUCAUUCUAUUAAAAGGGGAUAUAUGCACUUAUUAUGCAGUUUACCUUAACGUCUAACUUUAGAAAUGAAUUUAACCCAUGACUUUUGGGCGCCAUCCAGCAAUUACAUCCUCUGUCAGAGCUUGAGUUUUGACAAAAGAAUCCAUUGAGAAAAUCGACUGUGAAAGAAUAUGAUCAAGUAAGGCUAGGAUAUCCAAGACUUUAGAAAGAUGUCAAAGAAACAAAAGCUAGCAUCGAAAGGUACAAUCCUCUCAUGUGUAACUAAUACUUUGUAAAGAAUGAGCGGUGAUUUCUCAAUGGAGUGGUUUUGUUAUGACCGGUGUCCAUUAUCAGAGGCGAAGGCCCAUUAGUCGCUAAUAUGGCCGCUAGCACCAUAGGGCUUAAAGCCCAACUUAUCAUAAUUACUAUUAUUAGAUAUUAUUUCCUGUUAUUAGAUAAGAUUAGAUGAGAGAGUUAUUAGAUGAGAUUAGACGAGAGUUAUUAGAUGAGAUUAGAUUAGAUGGAAGGGUAUAAAUACUUUGUUAAGUCUCUUAAUGGGAAUUAAGCAGAAGCAAUCUAUUUUUGCUGGCUUCCCUGAGGAAGCUGGGAGGCUCCACCCUCCUACUCUUCUACCUCCAUCGCGAUAACGAUGCCCCAACGCUGGUAGCUCGCCCUCCAGCCUCGCCCUCCAAUCCAACACCCCUACUCUCUACAUGACAUCCCUGGCAGGAUCAGAAAUCCUAUCAAUCUGGUAUCAGCAAUGUCAGGUGCUCCUCCCACCACCACCGUCGUGGACCUCCUCCGCCGCACGACCGAUCUCCACCUCACCGAUGGCAUCCUCGUCCACGUCUGCGGCGCCUAUCAUGAUGGAAUCCAUGGCCAUGGCUGCUCAAGAAUUGACCCGCUUCACUACUCCUAUGCAUAUCUAUCAGCGACAUGCACGGGAAGCAUGCGUGGCCCUGAAUUUUCCUGUUGUGCCAUGCGUGACCCCAGCUUGUACAUCGACCCGCUCUCGUGAUGAACCAUCAAUGUACCAUCCUCCUACCCUUUGUCAGGAUCCCCGUCACGUCCAUCCGAUGGUGACUUGCCACGCAGCCAAGGUCCUCUGGCCCAUGGACCGUCUUGUCCUUUCGAUGACUGCCUCGCCGUCGGUGUUCUCCCCUGUGCCACUGUCUGCUCACCGCGCUCUUACAGAUCCUCACUUAUGUCAUCCUAUGCAAAACGAGUAUGAGGCCCUGCUUGCCAACCACACCUGGGACUUACUUCCUCGUCCCACCCAUGGCAACAUUUUGACUGGCAAGUGGGUCUUCAGUCUUCACCCACAAGAGGCACGCUGAUGGCUCCUUCGACCAGUACAAGGCCCAAUGAGUUCUUUGUGGUUUACUCAGCUCUCUGGUGUUGACUAUAAUAAGACCUUCGACCCCAUGGUGAAGUCGACCACUGUCUGCACCGUUUUGUCUCCGGCUCUCUCGCGGUCUUGGCAUGUCCAGUAGUCGUUUUGUCUUCGUCUCUCUCGCUGUCUUGGCAUGUCCAGCAACUGGACGUCAAGAACGCCUUUCUCGGUGGCACUCUGACUGAGACAAUGUAUUGCAACCAGUUGAUCAAUUUCGUGGACCCCGCUCAUCCGAACAUGGUCUGCAAGCUCCAAAAGUUAUUGUAUAAAGUAGGCACCUCAGGUUUGGUACAGUCGCUUUACCUCCUUGGUCUCCCUUGGCUUUGUCGAGGCCAAGUCGGACACGUCGUGGUUCGUCCAUCGUCGCGGUGGUGACACAAUGUACCUCCUUCUGUAUGUUGAUGACAUUGUCCUCACGGCCUCCGGUCCUGCCCUCUUACAACAGACCAUCUCAGCCUUGCAGCGGGAUUUUGCUAUGAAGGAUUUGGAACAACAUUACUUCCUGGGCGUUGCCAUUGAGCACCGCCCCCACGACCUCUUCCUUAAGCAGCGAGCAUACAUUCUGGAUCUUGAGCGGGCUAGCAUGGCUGUAGGCCUAGGCGUUCGGUUAACCGAAUUAUUUCGGUUCGGUUUCUCGAUUUUUUUAGAAAAUCGGUUAGUGGAAAAUGAAAACCGAAAUAGUGCAUUCAAAUAAGAAAUUGGUGCCUCGGUUAACCGAUAAUUUUGGUUCGGUUUUCGGUUAAACCGAAGAAACCAAACAACAUCAUUACAUAUCAAACACAAUUGGAUUGUCGGUCUAAAAAAUACUAAAUAUAGUAUUAUAUGGUUUUUAUUGAAAAACGACAUUUCUUCUAUGUACUUGCUCACAAAAAAGAUUGUGAGGUCCGGUACGUGAUAGGAUGAGGAUUGAGGGGAGGGCUUGACGUUUGAGCCCAUGAGACCGUGACCAUCAAACUGCUUGGUCGCACUUUUUCGCAGGGUUGCAGCUGCUUGCUUGUGUUGUGCACCACGCAGCCGAGAAGGCUCACGGAGUGAUGAGCUGCCUCCUGGGCCCACGAGCGUGGAGCCAUGAAUCUUUAUGAAGUGUCGACGCCUGACGGGAUUGAACAAGGGUGCUCUCAACUUGCCUCAUGGGCCUGACGACGUGAUGGGCUGAGAAGAUUUGGGCUAAAAUGGAAUUCUGGACUAGUGGCUAAUAGUUCGGUUUUUUGGUUUAAACCAAACUAAAUUUCGGCUUCUGAAAAAUGGUAACCGAAGAAAAUAGAACGGUUUGGUCAGUUUCGGUUUUGUCGGUUUCGGUUCCGAUUUUUUCGGUUUCGGUGUUCAGUUUUUGAUUUUUAUUCCCAUGCCUACAUGGCUGAUUGUGCAAGCCUUGCUCCACCCUGGUGGAUACACAGGCUAAGGUCUAGUCCGCCGCUGGUGCCCCUAUCAGUGAUCCCACUGCAUACUGAAACCUCGAUAGUGCUCUCCAGUACCUCACCUUCACUAGGCUAGAUCUCCUAUGAUGUUUAGUAGGUGUGUCUCCAUAUGCAUGAUCCACGAGAGCCACACCUCACCACUGUGACGCGAAUUCUUCGGUACCUCCAGGACAUCCUCGAUUACGGUGAUCCUUGCCCGGACACACAUCGCUCCACUUCUGGGUUGACGUCUUCCUAGGCGGGCAACCUUGUCUCCUGGUUGUCGAAGUGACAGUCUGUCGUCUCCCGCUCGACUAGUGUGUUGCCACUAGUGAUGUCUGUGUCCUUCACGUGCCGACGACUUCUUAGUUCACCGACAUCUUCGCCAAGGGCCUCCCUCGUUGUUCUCGGAAUUUCGCUCCAGUCCCAACAACUAUCGUCACUAGAGUUUCGAAUGCGAGGGGUGUUAGAGUGUAUUGUUUCCUAUUGUGUCUAGACUUUGUAUCCAACCCACUAUAGGCCUACUAUAUGUAUUUACAAACAUUAUGUGCAAUACUAUGGAACCUUCUUCCUCCAAUAAAAACUAAUUACCAAAAAGAUAAGCUCAAAGAUCAUUGUGUAGGACAUGGAUACAUACCUUCAUAUAUGUUUUUACAUAAGAAAGUGAAUCUGGAACAGACCAAUUCUUGUAGUGGCCCAGAGUUAUCUCCAUGUGAUAUAGUUUAGGACCCAGAGAGAGAUCAGCAGCAGAAAUUAUUCCACCAUUAAUAAAUGGACCCUGCACCAGUGUCUCAGAAUUACACGGCAAAUUUGAGAUAAACCACAGAAAAACGAAUACUUAGUUACCAAAUAUAAGUUAAGAUAUCAUAUAACUAUAAAGGUUCAUGUGAAGUUGACAUCAUCUUUCAUAUGGAUUGAAUGUAAAUUAAGAUAUCACAACUAAUUCAUCUUAGCUGAUAUAAAACUUGAAUCAAGUUUGUAUAAGUUUGAACAGAACUCAAGGUUUCCAUUUGUCAUUGUUGAUGCAAGGCAAAUGAUAAAUCGCCAUAUUCUGUAUUUGAGAAGCGCUCAUGUUAUAUUAAACAAACCAAGGGUCUUGAAAGUUUGAAUUUUCCAUAUGGACAUUUGGUUUAUUAAAACUAAGUAGUUUGAUAUGAGCAAAAAGGCGACUUUUGGAAUCAUUGUAGGAUAAAACUACAUUUUAGAUGACUAAUAGUAUAUGCAGUGCAUCACCCAUUAUGACCACAGGGGGAUAUUAGCCUGUCAGCUUCUUCUCUAGUCUCACCGCCUGCAGUGCUGCCAUUGUAACUGCAGAGGGUUGUUAGAGUAAAUAGGAACAGUACCACACUGUCUCCUACACCAGUUCUAGCCACGGGUGUUAGAGGAACUACACAAACUAGAGGAGCUGUUGAGGGGGGCUGAUCUCACUACACUGCCUGAUGGCACACCUGUUGCUUCGAGGUGACAACCAUAAGCUCUCGACAAGGAUGAUUGUUGGGCACUGACGCGCCGUCAUGUGGACCCAAACACUCAGUGACAAAAAGCAGAGCAUGAGAGGGUAACACGACGGUUGGUGGGAAUGAUAGCUUCUCGUUGUGCGUGUCUUAUUUGGCUAUAGGACGGGCGUAUUUAUAGGCCCGUCCGGGGGAAGGUGGUCCAAAGUACGACCCUACCCCUAUCUACCAACUAUAUCCAAAGAAUAUUCCAUGUAACAGAGUAAUUACAGCGCCAUCCAUGCAGCAGACGGCACACACUAAUUUACACACUCGCGCGUUACGCCGACAGGUGGGCCUACGAAGCAUAACUGCUGACGGUGUCCUCAAGAGUCUUUGUGCGAGCUUCCUAUCAGUCAACGGCUAGACAAGGGGUAGGGAAAGAGUCGCCUCCGGAGUAUGAUGGAGUCCCCAGAUGCCCUUUGGCCGGCUGGGCUGAACGGAGGUUUAGCAAGGGCUCCCCUUUCGAUGCGUCGCCAAGGGUGACAAGGACUUCGCUCCCGGGAUGUAGCGAAGUCUUUGUCGUUCCGUUGCCGCCUGGCGCGGCCCCUCAAUGCCGGGCCCGCUCGAUGGAGGCCUCUUUGGUCGGGGUCUCUGCACCAGUGAACCUGCGAAGGCAAUAAAUGGCAAAGGGGGGUUUACAUUAGUUUAGAACCAGGACGAGUUUAGACUCCGCUCAACAUGGUCUUCGCUCUAUGAUCGAGGUUGUGUUCGGUCUCCUCCCCAACAAUGAUCUACAGAGCUUUGGUCUGAGGGGAACAUGAACUACCCUCCUUUGCUUUUGUCUGGCAUAACUUCACCCCUCCUAGAGUAAAGUUGGCUACUAAAUGCAACACUAGCUUGGUGAAAAAGAGGAUCAUCUAGGAUGCCGCUUGUGACCUGUGCGGGGCACCAGAAGAGAAAGGUGACCACAUCAUCUAUCUUUGCACAUCAAUUCUGGGACCGAAUUGGGUGGAGAGCGGACUCAAUCACCGCGGUUGAUGCGAUCUAGACAUCUGGGAUGUUGGAAGGAAUGUCAGUAGGUGUAGUUACGACCCUUCUACUUUGCUGCUGAGAAUUCUAGAAACACAGGCACAACGUCGAGUUCCAAAAAAUGUCGCCUAAAAAAUUGAUUGAUCGCCUCUUGGCCAAAUGCAACAGACACCGCUAAGCUCUGACAGUGCCGCCUGCCUAGACACAUGACUAGGGGCUAAAUGAAAUCUAGAGAUCUCAAUUUUGGAAGUAAUCUUACUCCCCCCCUGCUUAAUAUCUUGUAAACUCCUUGGUUUAAGGCAAACAUCUGGGUCCAUGACCCUCCACAACCGAUAUCCCCCAGCAUCAGUGGUAAUACACCAGGUCAGGACCCCCCUGCUCUUCAAAAAAAUGUGCACCAGCUGAUGGAUUCUAGAGAACUUUGCAAUUUUUUGUCUUGACAUCAAACAUGAAAUAAUCCAUGCAACAAUGCACAAGAAUCUGAACACCUAUGUAGAUAUGAUAAGUAGAAGGGGGCUGCAGAAAUUAUAGAAAUACUGCAGCUCAUGCAAAACAAUUGUACUAUCAUGAACCAUUCAUGUAGCAUUACAAUUGCUACCAACCCACUUACAUUGUCUUUUAGAUAACUAUCAAAUGAAGUAAGCUCAUUAAGUAGUGCCUCUUCUGUUCCAUCGCUUGGAUCUUUGCUUUUGAGGAAACCAAUGAAAGUGGAAAAUAUUUUUGAUCCACUGUAAUGAAAUUUAUUCACAAUAGUUAUGACACUCAUAAUAAUAGAACUGUGAGUAUUAACAAAAUAAAAAUAAAAUAACAGGCAAAAGUUGUAGAUGACCUCAAGAUACAAAUCAAAUAACAUUUGCAAGUAGGAUAUACCAAUAAAGUCACUAAUUUAGUGUCGUAGAUACCAGCUCUGUUAAUGAUAAGGCAUAUUUUUGUACAACCACAAAGAAUGACUAACAUAUUCUGUUAAGGAGAUAUGGAAAGAAAAAUAUAAUAGUUUGUAACUUUAUAUGCUUUUUUAGGUAAUGAGAAGUUCCAUCUUUAGUCCUCUUCAUAAAGAGGCAUCAGUCCCCAAAUAAUACAAACACACCCAAAGUUUAAACGCUUAGACCAGUUCGUCAUGCAUAAAUGCUCAGCACGAAAAUGAAACAGAUAAUGACAGAGAAAUUAGCACAAAAUAUGUGUGGAUGACUCAACAUUUGAAACAUGAGUGCUGAACACCCUUACAUAAGUGCAAAACAGGAGUUAUUAAUUAGGGCACUGGAAAUAUCACAUACACUGAAGCUUUUUCUGGUGGAGUUGCCAAGGGUGGUUCAGGGUAUUUCUCCUCUAAUGCUUGUGUUAUAACAUCAGAAUCACCAAUCCAUUUUUCCUCGAGCUUCACGAUAGGCACUUUACCUUCUGGGUUGAUUUCAAAUAACCUAAUGAAGCAAGACAAAAGCAUGAUGGUUCAUGGGCUCAUGGCCAUGGAACUAUCAACCAGAAAAACAGCCAGUAAUAAUCUGAACAGAAAGGUUAGGCAUGUCUUGCAGAUAGGUACCAAUCUGGCUUAUUAGCUAGAUCAACUAGCUUCAGAUCAUAAGGCAGAUGCUUCUCCUCUAUAGUCAACAAAACCCUCUGUGUGAAAGGACCUGUGGCCAACAUGUGAAAUUUAAUUCAGACUGUCAAGUAUUUCAAUAAUCAGAGCAAAAAAACUUGUGAUGCAGUUAAAAACCUUAAACUGUGGUGUUACAUUCUCAUAUAAAGGAAACAGGAUUCACACACACUUCCAUUCUGGUAAUAUCAAUGUAGCCCAACAGUAAGAAACAGAUGCCAAUAUUAAUCUUUCAAAUUUCUAUUUCAAAACUCCCCAACCCACCCCUCUUUGUCUCUGUUUUAAAGGAGAUGUGACCAACCCACGCCGUCUAAGUGAAACAGUGUUUGGGUAACCGUUAAUAUCUACUCGUAUUAUUAAACUCACUACUAAUAAGAAAAAAUGAUGAUGCCUAAUGUUGUACUGUGAAUUAUGCUGGCAGUAGUUUCCCUACUUGAGUAAAGCAUGUACCAGACUGCAGAGCAAGUUUUGUUAUUAAUAAGCAAAAACAGAUUAGAAAAAGAUAAACCUACUCUAGUUUGUUUCUGAAUGCUGCUAUUCUAUUUCUACCACAGAAACAGUUAUUCUGUGAAAGUUAAUACUGCCAGUACAAAAAUAUUUUGUUUUUCUAUACAAAAUGAGCUCUUUUAUUCUUACAUUCUAUCAGUCCUUCCAGAUGGCAUAAAUUGACAACAAGGACUACCAAUACAGCUUAAGUAUACAGAAACCCAGGAAGGGACAAUACCCAGAAUCCAGAACCUUUUUCGUCAUUAAGGCAUUAACACAUUCUAUAGUCUCCAUUAAAGCUUAAAAGAGGAUUAGGGCAGGAGACAGACAAGAAAUUUCACUCCAAAGAAAAUCUUAAGAUGUUCAUCUCUUAAUAUACUAUACUACAUUAAUAUCAAACUUCACCAAAACACUGAAAGAACAAAUCACCCACCUUCACCAAGCACUAGAAAAAAUUCUCCAAGUAUAAACUCAUCAUACAAGUACACCAUUGAGUUUUCUAUGCACUGCUGUUGGCUAAAUGAUUCAGAGAACAUACACUGUUUAUAUUGUCAUGACGAUGAUCACUAAAACAAGUGCACUAAAUCAAACACUAUUUACCAAAAAAAUGGCUUGGUGCAGACUGCAAGACCAAGAACCUUUGGAUUUUCCAUGCAUUGAUGUUGGCUAAAUGAUUCAGAGCAUACUCACUUAGUCACUUUAUAUUGUCAUGAAGAUGAUGACCAAAACAAGUGCACUAAAUCAAGCGCUAUUUACCAAAAAAUUGGCUUGGUGCAGACUGCAGGAACAAACUAUGUGCUGAAAUAACUACAUCCACACCGCAGACACGUCAAAGGCAGGGUCAGCCCUGAGGGGGGCAGGGUGGGCGGCCGCCCUGGCCCCUAAAUAUAUAUCGAGUAUAUGAUGUAUGCUCUGAAUUUUUAGUAAUUGAUUUUAAUUUACUCAUCAUUCGAUAGUCUAUUCGUUAGCUAUUCGUUAACUGCAGCUUGUUGGAAAUCUAAGAGACGAAUCGAUGAGCCUGCCGCAGUUUUAGAGGAAACAAAUUGUCGCAAACUGCUAGUGCGACGCGGCGACACGCUGAGUGCAUGUAAGAGCUCUGCACGGCACCUCUCCCAGCUCUCUCCCUCUCCCCGCUGGUGCUCAUCCCUUUCUCCUGUGCCGGCGCUGCCCCACCACGCUGCAGCCGCCGCCGCUGCCGUGCUGCUGGAGCUGCCGUCACGCCGCUGCCAGCCUCCGGCAGCCUCUACCACUCACCUUAGGUGCGGGAGUAAGGCGAGUAGGUCACCUUACAUCCCCGGAGUGCCUUACCGCCUAGGCGAUGCCUUAACAACUAUGUUGUCCGCUAUAUGAAUUGUCGAGCAUGCCAAAGAGGUGGAUUGUUAUCCUAAUGUCUCUAUUGCAUAUCAAAUCUUAUUUAUUGUGUCAGUGAUUGUUCCAUCUGUCAAAAAAAUCUUUUUAAGACUAAAAUUAGGGAAAACUAUUUGAGAUCAACAAUUAUGUGUUCAUAAGUUUCCAUAUAUAAGUAUAUAUAUAUAUAUAUAUUAUACAUAUAGACACGCAUGGAGAUAGGAGGGCCCCAAUAUUAACUUUCGUUCAGGGCCCCAAAAAUACCAGGACCGGCUCUAGUCAAAGGCUGCUGUUUAACUAAAAUCUAGCUCCACAUAUUUCAUGCAAUAUCAGGUUAUUAUGUUUUUCACGUGCCAUCAUAAAAGCACAUACGGGUCAUGAUACCAACACAAAAAUCAAUCCAUUAUACCAUCGCUCUAAAAGUGAAAGAAAGCCUAUCAUUUGCAGUUGCACUGAUAACGCAGCAAAUUAAAAUCUCGCCUAUUCCAAAUAGCUAACAACGCAAGCAGAACUAUUGUCAGUUAACCUUGCAUUCUAUAAAUUACAUUUACCCAGCGCGCGCGCGCGCGAGAGAGAGAGAGAGAGAGAGAGAGAGAGAGAGAGAGAGAGAGCUCACAGUCUCCGAGGCGGCCAGGGAUGGUGAUGGACUCCUUAGCGCAGACCUCGAGGGGCUGGGCCGAGGCGCGGGCCACAUACAAGCGGCGCUGCGGCGCGGCACGGGGCAGAAGGCAGCCGCGGGAGCGGCGGAAGGUGGUGGCGAGCAGCGCCGAGGAGGGGCCAGCAGUCGAGGCGGCGGCGGAGGUGCUGCGGAGGAGGACGGCCAUGUUUAACUCGCCGGAGCAGGUCGGCGCGGGGAGGAUGCGGUUCAGUACAAAGGGAGCACGCGGCGAGCGGUUGCAGCUGCGAAGGGGAGAGAAAAGCUUAUCUGACCCGUGGCACGGGCUUGUUUGGCUGCGUUCGAUAACCGUGGAUAUCUAGGGCAUGUUUGGUUUGUUACCUCAAUUGUCACAUUUUGCCUAACUUUUCUGUCUAAGGUUAGUUAUUUAAUUUGAAUGACUAAUCUUAGGUAAAAUGUAGCACAUUUAGGUACAAACCAAACAUACCCUUAGUAAUCUGGACUGUAUACACUACUCAAAAAAAUUCAGCACAAAGUUGAUAUUUGAGAUUCUCUCUAGCCACAUAUUACCCAAAGCAGAGAAAUUAACAUGUUUGUUUAAAUAUCAGAUAAAAUUUAUCUCAUUCCAGAAUCCAUAGGUAACCAAACGCUCCCUUGAUCAGAGGCCGGACAGAUAGAGUUUCUUUUGGACCAAAAUCUCUACUAUAGUUUCUUUUGGACCAAAAUAUCUACUAUAUUUUUGAGUUAUGACCUGGGCCACGGUUAAGUGGCCCAGACCUAAUAUCCGUCCCUAUUCAAAGCAUCAGUUAGGUUGUCCACACUCAGACUGAAUAUGCUACCUUAUGGGUCUUAUCCAAGCGUCCAUCGUCCACAAUCGUAUGUGGUAUGUCUAGUGCAGAUUUGGAUGAUUAGUAGCACGCACCAUCAGAUGUGCCUAGAACCGCUGAAGACACACUAUUUACUUUCAAUUAAAGCCAGCUUUUAGACUGUUGUAGUUGCAAUCUAUAGAGACAAAAUAUUAAAGAAGUAGUAUAAAUUGUUAUGUAUUAAAGUCAAACGAACAGGUUGGAUACCCUUAGCAAGACACGCGGCUUAUUUUUGUUCUUGAUUUUUUUUGGAUGUUAGAGCAUCUUCAAGAGCUCCUAGAAAAUGACUCCUAAAAAUCAGCUCCCAAAAAAUACUCCUAAAAUCAGUUUUAAGGGACAUCUAAAAAAUUAGUGGGGAUAGAUUUUAAUCAUUUCUCCAACAUAUCUCUUAAAGCCGUAGAUUGUUUCUGGGGAGCCAAAAAACCGGAGUUUUAAAGGCUAUGAAAAAAGUUGGGAGCACUUUAGGGGAACUGUUGGAGAUACGUUUUUGUGUUUUUAUAAAAAAAACUUGAUUUAGAGAAGACUUCUGAUGAGCUCUUGGAGAUACUCUUAUAUGUAGAGACCAAAAAUGAGACAAUGGAAUCGCGAAGGAGGGCAUCCGGAUUUGAGGUUGUCUAAGUAGACCAUGUAAAAUAGGAGGUUUUAUGGUAGAUGACAUUAUUUACACAAUGAAAUUUGAUAUAGUGGAUGAAAUAGGGGAUAGAAUAGGGGAUGGGAUAGGCUUCUCCUGAUAGGGUUGGAAACAAGCCGAGCUCGACUCGGCUCGCCCACUGCACGAGCUCAAGAAUAAGGUUCGGCUUAGCUCACGAGCCACACAUUAGUAAAUAUAAUUGUAUUAUAUAUUAAUUAAUAGUAUUUAAAUAUAAAAUAUAGAAUCAUUAUUUAAUAUUAUGAGUAAUCUAAAAUUUGAAUUAUUAUAUAUCCAUCGUCGAAGACUAAAAAUAACUAAUAAUCCAUUAUUAUUUUGUAGAUUGAUUAAUUUAGUACAUAUGACAUAGCUCACGAGCCAGCUUGGCUCGAUUCGUUUCACCAACUAGCCUAAAAAAUAGGCUUGUCUCGACUCGCUCGAGGUUCGCAAGCCGAGCCAAGAUGCUCGAAGCUCGAGUCAGCUCGCGAUCCCGAGCUUAUUUUCUAGUUAUAUAUAUUCGAUGCUUCACGCUUCUCCUAAUAAGGUUUCUUUAAAGUUCAGCAGAUAUAUAGUAGAAGUGAAUAGUAAUUAUUUUAAAAUCUUUUGUUUUAAUAACAUAUUAAGUUUUUAAUACUAUAUUAAGUUGUAUGCAUCGAUCAAUCUAAUUCAAAAGUUUAAGUGAUGAAGAAAAGUGGAUAAUUCACGACGUUUUUAUUUGCCCUAUUUUUUAUUUCUUGGACAAAGAAUGCUUUUCCCAUUUUCUUUGUUUUUGUUCUUUUGGUUUGAAGAAAUCUGUCCCGCUCUAGGCACAACUGGGUCAAAUCAACUGCAACAGGACAUUUGGUUUCGAAUUAAAUCUACGAGCGCUAAAGAACAAUUUGUGCUUCUAUUUUGAAAAUCAACACCAUUGUAUUAUUCUUCGGUAGAAGAAAGUACUAGCGAGCUCUGUUCAUUUGAAGCGCCUUCAGAUUAGAUCAUAUCUUUCGUUCCAAUACUUCAGAUAGCAAACUAUCUGUUUCACUGUUGAUCUAUAUGGAUUAGGUGAUAUUGAAUUGAUUUAAUCUAUAGCAAAUUAAAAUAUAUUUCAAUUCAUUCCAAUACACUCUACUUCAUAUGGAGGCAUUGUUUGGUUAUUCUCGAUCCAUGUGGAUUAGAGUGUAUUGAACGGGAUUGAGAUAAAUUUUAACUUGUUAUGGAUUUAAACUAACUCAAUCACACUCAAUCCACAAGAACUAAGAGCGAACCGAACAAACCUGGAAUUAGAAUAACCAAAUAAGUUCUAAAAGGUUUGGUAUUUUAGGUGUACGAGAGUUGGUGGCUUCCGUGUGGAUUCUUUUCAGUAUGUGACUUAUAUUUGGUUUCAUGUAACACUAUUUUGCUUCAGACUAAAAAGCAUAUGCUGAUGUUAUAUAUGUUUUUUUAGUUUCUUGUGUGAGCGGCCUGUUGAGUGAAUCUUUGACCUAUUUGGAGCACAUGAAUUUAUCUUAGGAACCAAAUUGUUUACCGUAAAUCUCGUGCAUUACAAACUGGCAAUUAUUUUUAUAUAAGUUUGUGUUGGAGCAAUUACUUAGAUUGUGACAGCGGUUAGCUACUAGAGGGCUCAGAGUUGUCAGUAUUUUUUACAUGAACUACUUGUUUAUUGUGUUGCAUGGUGUAAAGAAAAUGGACCCCGACUCAUUUGUCUAAAUGAUUUUAAUAUUUGACUAGGUGAGUGCCCGUGCGUUCCAACGGAAAUAUAUAAUAACACAAUAAUUUAUGUACAAAUAUGUGUUAUACUGUUCUGAGAAAAUAUUUUGUAAUUCAUUUAUGAUCCUAGCCACAUAUAAAUUUCAUCGUUUUAAUCUACCUAUUUCGCCACUACAUUGCAGUAAUGACACCUGACAUCCAUGGCACAACAACAGGGGCAGUUGGAUGAGAAUCUCUGUAUAGCUCAGGGUACCGGUCUUUGAAGUUUAAUCUAGGGUGGUCAGCCUGAAAUGCAAACCAAUACAACCAAAAUUACUUCUCAGGUGGAACAAGAUCCAUUCUGGUAAUGUAUACAUGAAUGGAAUACCAGAACUUUGAUGGGAAAAAACGAAGUUUCGUUUGGAAGGAAGAGUCCAAGAACAACAUCUCACCAUUAAGUAUCUAAAGGGAAUUUCUUAAAGAAAGAAAGAACCUGAAUAUUCAUUCAGAUUUUCUCACAUGGUCAAAACUUGGAAAUAAAAAAAAUAUGAAUGCUAAGUCAUGAAAGAAUAAAUUCAAGAAAACUAAAAUAGCAUUUUAUAGUUUCAGACCAUCAUGUACAAACAUUAGAUCUCAAAUGUGCAUAAAAGGGAGAGAAACUACUUCUGGGCAUGAAUAUUUUAGAUAAGAGAGCAGUUUUUGUGCCCGGGUGGCUGGCGCCCUGGAUAUCAGGACCAUCCAUUUCCAUCAGCCUGAUCAACCUUAGGCAGAGAGGAACCAGAACCAAUGCUCCAGUUGUUCCGUAAAAACUCCAUAGCACAAUUCAAUAUUUUUUAUGAUGCGGAAUAAAAUGACUACUCAAGUGUCUACACCAUUGCAGAAUUUUGUUUUUUCACUUUCAGAUACAUCAUGGAUUACAUUUUUUUCGUGGUCAAUGUUCCAUCUUCUAUAAAUAGCACUGAAAUGUUCCAUCUGAGGUAGCAUUCCAAUAAAUCAGUCAUCAUAGAAAUUUUGGAGAGCUUCAGAAACCAUAAUGAAACACAUUCCAGUGCGUGGUGAGAAAUUUUAACCACUGCACGGUAGAAAAUUUUCACAGCGUGAAAACUUCAGUUAAAACGAAUCAUAGAAAACACAAGCAAUGGCCUGGAUAUCAAGGGUGCAAUACAAAGUAUACUCUAACAAGUAAAUUGAUUUUGUGUAUAUCACCAAUUCAGCCAAAAAAGGCUACCAAGAAACAAACAACCUGGAACACACAACACAAACAUGUUUCCACCAACAGAUUGUACAAUAGGGUGGUUUGCUAUCUGAUGCACGUAACAUAACAUCAUCAACAAUUAGAAGAGUGUUUUUUUUAUUAUGAUGAUAAUUGAGUAUAAUCGUCUGUCGAACUCCUAAUACAUCUCAGUUCCUAUGUCAAAUGAUGAAUUUUUUGUCAGUUCCAUUUUUGGCAGAAGAGUUACUAACCAGUAGAUUUAUUUUGCCAAAACAGUUAACCUCUUUUCACGGAAGCAACUAACCUUAUCAAUUGGUAUAAGGUUGCGACAAGACUAUGAAUCACAGGGAUAGGCGCAGUCAAUCUCCACGGCAGCUCCUCUUUCAAAGUACCAAUCACCUACCACCUCUGCAAUUUUCUGGAACUCUACAAUGUUAGCCAAAGCACCACCUAAGGCUAAAAUACAGCUCGUGUGCUAAAAAAUUACAUGUACCUUGUUAUCUAUGGAUGGAGAAUUUGGUGCGAACCAUGUGUCCUGCAGCUCACUCUGGCAAUGCGCGAAGCAGGAGUUGAUGAACACCCCUGCCUUCGGUUUGCUUUCAGACUGUCUCAGAGAUGUCAACAUUCCACUUCUCAGUCCUGCCCAAAAAAAUCAAAAUCAAAAUUUGAAUCAUGCCAUAAAAACGGUAGCUUCAGUUUAGAACAUCGCAGAUGAUUGUUCAAUACAAUAUGAAUCUGUACCAUCUACUUACCAGAGAGUUAACCUUGGAGGGUUGCGAUCUGUGUUGCGCUGCAUCCACCAAGAUCUGACUUGCAGCGGCUCCAAUGGCCUCCAGGAUCAGACGAAGGCGAUGCCAGAAUGUGGCGGAACUGUCCGAAAAUUUCCAAACCAGAAUUAUUACUUGCCACCUGGUCCAGGUGCCGAAAACUAUAUUGAUCGAUCACAAGCCGCAUUUUACCCGAUAUACAUCAUAAGUUGAAUUCAAGAUGAAAACGGGGUUCGGAUGUUCGCAAGCGCAAACUGUGGAAAGAAACACUGCGCAGACAUGGAUCAUCAGAACCGGUGGACAUAUUGAGCUAUUAACUAAGUGAUGGAACAAGAUUGUUUUAUCAAGUAAAAGAAAACAUAACUCAAUGCCAAACCACCAGGAUUGUGCCAGACUGCACUUGCAUUGCCUGCUCUACCCACGGCCCAAAACCAUGAUAACCAAGUUAGAGGCCCAAUAGCUACACCUCAUGUGUCCUAGCAUUGUUAAAAAAUCAAUACUUGUAUCAUAUAUGCAGCAAACAUAAAACAAUUUGGAAUUCACUAUCCCAGGAAACAUGACAAAUUUGGUAAUAAUGAACUAACGUCACCAACUGCGCAUGAGAGCUGGACUUAAGUAAUCUCUUAGAUUAGUUAAGUACUUAAAUAUACACAUAGACGACAACAGAAAAUACCUGCUUCAACCAGCAUUCUUGAUGUUUGUGUUCAUAUUUGUCUGGCGAGUAGCAUCCAUACUCAGACGGACAGUAAACCCAAAUAUUACACUUUAAGGCUCCUGGUCUGGCCAUCUUAGCCUGGUCUAUACAGGCUUGACAGCAAUCUGCGGCACUUUCUUUGUGAUGUGUUAAGCCCCAUCUAACAGCAGUGCCACCAUAAUCAGUAUGCAGUUCAGUAUUGCAUUCAGGGGGCAAAGGUGGACCUGGUAUUAUCUCUUCAUUUGCAACAUUAGCAUCAAUCAAGAACCAUUAUUCAAUUGUCUCUUGGAGCAAUUUAAAAUUACUACACAAUUUGGUCACCAUUAAUGACCCAUAAGAUGUAAUCAACAAUGCUGGCAACAUAAGCAGCGUAAACGAAAUAACCUUCUGGUUCAUUCUCAGGUUUGUCAUCAUGUUCGAUAUGAUAUAUAGUGGGAGGUAUCCAAAGACCAAUGUCCUCCAAUAGCAUUUGCCAGUUAAACUCCAAGGCUCGCUUUAACAUCCCUAAAUAUCGAACCAGAUGGCAUUAUAAUUGUUAACAAAAUAAAAAAAGUAUAAAUAUGUCAUCAUAGCAACUUCAAGUAAGCUCCCGUAGUCCCGUAUUUGAAUCUUCACUGGAGAGGCCAAAAUUUGAUAAAUUCUUAGAAGAUGUACUUCUCAUGUCCUUGAGCUUCCCAACACGCCAUGCUUCUAUAGCUUCUGGCAUAUAUUAGAAAACGAAGGGAAAAUAUUUUAUUUUAGGUUAGUAAACAUCUCAUUACAGUUCACGCUUAUUCCAAAAUACGCCUUACAAAGAAGUAAGCGCAAACAAACUCAUAUGCUAUCCCUGGGUGCUGACAUACAAACCUUGUUGUUCCGUGGUAUUAGAACCUACUCUAGAUUCACACCAAUUUCCCACAACCUCUGAACUACUCUAGAUUCACACUAAUUUCCAAACCAGAGAAUCUAAGUCCAUGAAUGUAUUUAAAUGCCUCCAUCUAUUAUGAAAUAAAAUAGGACACAAAAAUAUAUUGAAUGUACAUGUAAACAGAUCUUAGUGAAAGCUUAAUGAGCUCACCUAUCGGCUGCCCUUAGCAGCUGUAGCAGAGACAGACAUCAUCACCCGCCUUGUGAUGAAGCUCCAGGAGGAGCUCCGCGUUCAAAGGUGCAUAUAGCUCACUAAAAAAUAUUGGGCAUGCAACUAAGGCAAAUUCGUUAUGGGAAAAUUCAAAAUUAUUCUAAAUAACUUUGGACAUUUGUUUUCACACCGUUGGAGUACUAUACCACACAUCGCAGUCAUGGAUGUGUGAUGUAUACAACUAUGCACACUGGCCAUAUAUGUCAUUUUAAUUCUCUUUUGAUUUGCCUUAAACAAUGGUUGUGAUAUAAUGUUAUGUCAUGUCAUCGCCGUGCAUCUUCCCUCCAUUCACUGAACAAUUGACUAAAAUAAGGCCUUAUAUCUCCAGCUCAAAGAUUUGGUCAUGAUUCUAGUCUUGAGCACAUGCUUGCCUCCCUGACAAUGAUCUGGCCAUGAUACUACUACCCAAACAAGUGAACAAAUAGUCUACGCAAAGUUAUUCCAUAAAUCCUACUACCUAUGAAAUCCACUACAGUUCGUUGCUAUUUUUAACAAGUAAUUGAGAUUACUAUGUUUCUUCUACUAUACAAUAUGCGAAACUGGUUGUGCCAUCCCUAAUUCCUGCAAGUUACAAUACAAUUUUCAGAACACUCACCACACAGAGCGCUCCGAUGACCUUGUCAUUAUAUGUCUCAGGGUCAUAUGCCUGCAUCUCUAGCAAAUCGUUGCCAUCGUCUUCCCUUGCUCCCUCCUAGAUAUUUGUCACAGUCGCCUGGUGCCCAUCGAUAAGCCACUGUGCCCACCUGUUCUGCACGUUGGACAGCCUUAUCACGCGCUUGUUCACACCGCUAAUGUCCACCUUGAUAAAUUCAUCUACAAGCUAAUAGUGGUAAAGUUCAUACAAGGGUUUCAAUGACGAAGUCAGCGCGUCGAUCGACAGCCUCGGGUCGUCCCCUGCGAGACGUGGAGAUCGGGAGAGCAUCACAGCGAGGCGGCGUCCGGGCAUCGCGUAGUACCUCUACAAAACUGUAGUGAAAAAAUACAUACACCAAAAAAUUAAAUCAAUGGUAAUAUAUCGUCCACCACACCAAGCCCCACCCCACGUCCCAACCUCAACCCAAAAAACUUGGUAAAUUGUACAACAGAAUCGUGAUCUCUCUUCCAGCCUACAGAAAUAAGUACAAGCAUGGAACACUACCAGCACAAAACGGAAAAAUGGACUAACCUACCAUCUGUGGUGUCCCGGGAGCCAUCCAAUGAAGAAUUUCCUGAAAUUACCAAACCAAAGGCCAACCAAUCAGACCGAUUAAUCCAGAUCCAGUCGUAAAUUAAAGAGAGAGGGGCACUAGAAAUUUAUACCUCGGGUUGCAGCUGCCACCGCCGCCACCCGAGGUCCCAGAUGGCGCGGAGAUGGCCGGUGUCGCGGAUGGCAUGGAGACAUCUGGCUACGCGAGGAUACACAACGAUGCUGGAGCGGCUGACGCGUGGAAGAUGCAAUCCGCUCGCGGCGCGGAGGUGAGCGUACGCGCGGAGGAUGGAAAGGCAGCAGGCAUGGAGGCGGCUGACCUGGACACCACAGUGCAUGAUGGCGUACUUAUCGACGUCCAACACCCGCUCCUCCCAGGCGCAGGCAGAUUUUUUAGGGUGAAGCGUCGAGCGAGUGUGCGUCGGCCACCGGCUCGCUCGAUGGGCGCGACACGACAGCACUGCGCCGGCGGUCGGGAGAGAGGCCACGGAGGCGCGGGUCGGGGACGGCAUCGGGCCGCACAUCGACGCCGACAACGGAGCUCCUCCGCCGUCGUCCCUCCCGCUCAGACCUAGGCGUCGUGACCGGGAGGUGGGGGUUGAGAAGGACGGCGGCGACGCAGGUCUGGGCCGUACGGAACCGCGCUUCGACGUCGAGAACGACACUCUUCUGCCAUGGUCCCUCUCGCUCGAACCCAAGCAUCGUCGAAGGGGCGGUAGUUGUGGCAUCGAUUACAGUUCUGAGAUGCGAGGAUGGGGCGGUUGCGACUGCGAGAUACGGGGAUGGGGCAGGCGCGGAUCGGUCGCGAGAUUAGCGGGGGGUGGGGGGAGGGCGAGGGCAGAGGCGUGGAUCACGCGGCUCCGAUGUCCCCGCUGGUGACGGUUGCUGCGGGGAUGCGGAGACGGGGCGGGCGCGGAUCGACGGGGGCGCGACUGCAAGACGCGGGGACGGGGCGGGCGCGGAUCAGCCGCGAGAUUAGCGGUGUGGGGGGGGGGGGGGGGCGGAGCCACGGUGGUGUGGACGCCCUCCUUACCCUCUUAUGGAGUAGUAGAGAUAAACAACAUGACAAGUGAACUGAUGAUUUUCAAGUAGUUCACAUGAUGCAAAGUUGUUUGGACUGAGGAUCUAAGGACGUAACACCUCAAAAGAAAACCUAAAAGACACAUAGAAGCCUCACAAAUAUUCAGCACAAAGUCCAAGACACAAGACCAAAAGAGCACAAGCGAAAAGACUGAAGAAAUCCAGAACUAGGCUUCCAGCUGGCGCACCGGACUGGUCCGAUGGUGCACCAGACCGUGUGCACAGAGAGCUCUGCCAAUAGCUCUCGGGCUACUGGCUAACCGGAUCGGUCCAAUGGUGCACUGAACCGAGGUCCAACAACUAGUCUCCAGCGGUCGUCUAAUGUGAUGGCCCCUAGAUCUUGCGGGUGGCACACCAGACCGGCUACAGUACUGUUAGAGGCCCAACGGCUAGCAGACAUAGAGGGUCCGGACCUGUGGUCAGGUGUGCCAUAGACAGAAAAGUCUACUUUUCUUCCAACGUCUAGAAUUGGAUGGGGCUCUAUAAAUACCCUCUAACCGGCCAUUUGAAUGUGUGGGAGCCCAAGCAACAUACCAACACAUGUGAUACACAUCUCCACGGCUUCAAACACCCAAGUGCUUAAUAGAAUCACUCGGUGAUUAGCAUAGGUGCUUUGCGAAGUGAUUAGGUUAGUUAGACUGCUAUUGCGCUUGCUUUAGGUUGUUCCUAGUUAGUUAAGUGAGUUUAGAGAAACUAACAAAACCACUCGGCUCUUGCACGAGCCGUUGUAAUUGUAUCGAGUGGGGCAGGAGUCUUCCGAGACCGUAUCAACCGUGUUUGUGGUGCGGCCACCACCGUGUACCAGAGGGAAUGAUGCCCGUGGUGAGUUGACCAGAAGCUCGAUAGUAGAGACGACGGGGAGCAUCCGAGGAAACGAAAGCGAAGCACCACUUGCGUGUGGAGAAGGUCCACGGCUCUCUACAAAGUUAUUCGACCAUGAUGCUUGGCCCUCACGUGGGCUACCCAUUGUGUAAGGGCACCUGAUAGUCGCCUAGAGGGGGGGGGUGAAUAGGGCGAAACUGAAAUUUACAAAUAUAAACACAACUACAAGCCGGGUUAGCGUUAGAAAUAUAAACGAGUCCGCGAGAGAGGGGGCAAAACAAAUCGCAAGCAAAUAAGGAGAGUGACACGCGGAUUUGUUUUACCGAGGUUCGGUUCUUGCAAACCUACUCCCCGUUGAGGAGGCCACAAAGGCCGGGUCUCUUUCAACCCUUCCCUCUCUCAAACGGUCCCUCGGACCGAGUGAGCUUUCCUUCUUCUCAAUCAACCGGGAACAAAACUUCCCCGCAAGGGCCACCACACAAUCGGUGCCUCUUGCCUUGGUUACAAUUGAGUGUUGAUCACAAGAGCAAAAGAGAAAGAAAGAAUGCGAUCCAAGCGCAAGAGCUCAAAUGAAUACGGCAAAUCACUCUCACUAGUCACUUAGGGUUUGUGUGGAAUUGGAGAGGAUUUGAUCUCUUUGGGUGUGUCUAGAAUUGAAUGCCUAGCUCUUGUAAGUGGUUGAGAAGUGGAAAACUUGGAUGGCAAUGAAUGUGGGGUGGUUGGGGUAUUUAUAGCCCCAACCACCAAAUGUGGCCGUUGCUGGGAGCUCUCUGUUCGAUGGCGCACCGGACAGUCCGGUGCACACCGGACAGUCCGGUGCCCCUGCCACGUCAUCACUGCCGUUGGAUUCUAGCCGUUGGAGCUUCUGACUUGUGGACCCGCCUGGGUGUCCGGUGCACACCGGACAUGCACUGUUUGAUGUCCGGUGCACCGGUAUGGGCAGCCCUGACGUCUGCGCGCGCUGCGCGCGCAUUUAAUGCUGCGCAGAGAGCCGUUGGCGCCGCAGAGAGCCGUUGCUCCGCUGUCACACCGGACAGUCCGGUGCACACCGGACAGUCCGGUGAAUUUUAGCGGAGCGGCUGCCGCGCGAACCCGAGGCUGGCGAGUUCAGGAGGCCGAGCUUCCUUGGAGCACCGGACAUGUCCGGUGCACACCGGACAGUCCGGUGAAUUAUAGCACGCCGGCUUCCGAGAAUUCCCGAGAGUGAAGAGUUGGAGUCUGAGUCCCCUGGUGCACCGGACAGGUACUGUUUACUGUCCGGUGGCACACCGGACAGUCCGGUGCGCCAGACCAGGGGUGCCCUCGGUUGCCCCUUUGCUCCUUUAUUGAAUCCAACACUUGAUCUUUUUAUUGGCUAGAUGUGAACCUUUUGCACCUGUAUAACUUAUACACUAGAGCAAACUAGUCAGUCCAAUAUUUGUGUUGGGCAAUUCAACCACCAAAAUUAUUUAGGAACUAGGUGUAAGCCUAAUUCCCUUUCAAUCUCCCCCUUUUUGGUGAUUGAUGCCAACACAAACCAAAGCGAAUAUAGAAGUGCAUAAUUGAACUAGUUUGCAUAAUGUAAGUGAAAAGGUUACUUGGAAUUGAGCCAAUAUAACUACUUACAAGAUAUGCAAGGAAUGUUUCUUUCUUAUAUAACAUUUUGGACCACGUUUGCACCACAUGUUUUGUUUUUGCAAAUUCUUUUUGUAAAUCCAUUUCAAAGAUCUUUUGCAAAUAGUCAAAGGUACAUGAAUAAGAGUUUGCAAAGCAUUUUCAAGAUUUGAAAUUGUCUCCCCUUAUUUCAAAUGCUUUUCCUUUGACUAAACAAAACUCCCCCUAAAAGAGAUCCACCUCUUAGUGUUCAAGAGGGUUUUGAUAUACCAUUUUUUGAAAUACUACUUUCUCCCCCUUUUGAACACAAUAGGAUACCAAAUGAUAAAGACUUUUGGAAAGCACUAAGUUUUUGAAUUUGGUGGUGGUGGUGCGGUCCUUUUGCUUUGGGCUCAUUUCUCCCCCUUUUUGGCAUGAAUCGCCAAAAACGGAAUCAUUAGAGCCCUCUAAGUGCUAUCUUCCCCUUUGGUCAUAAAAUAAAUGAGUUAAGAUUAUACCAAAAAGCGAAGCUUUUGAGCUUUUACUCUCUUCCCCAGGGAUGAAGUUCUUUUCUUUGAUGCUCAUUUCUCCCCCAAAGAAGAGAGAGUUGCUCGGAGUGUUGGCGAAGUAUGAGUUACGGAGUGGAAGCCUUUGUCUUCGCCGAAGACUCCAAUUCCCUUUCAAUAUACCUAUGACUUGGUUUGAAAUAACCUUGAAAACUCAUUAGUCAUAGCAUAUAAAAGAGAUAUGAUCAAAGGUAUUCAAAAGAGCUAUGUGUGCAAGCUUAGCAAAAGAAAUUUCUAGAAUCAAGAAUAUUGAGCUCAUGCCUAAGUCUGGUAAAAGAUUGUUCAUCAAGUGGCUUGGUAAAGAUAUCGGCUAAUUGAUCUUUAGUAUUAAUGUAAGAAAUCUCGAUAUCCCCCUUUUGUUGGUGAUCCCUAAGAAAAUGAUACCGAAUGGCUAUGUGCUUAGUGCGGCUAUGCUCGACGGGAUUGUCGGCCAUUUUGAUUGCACUCACAUUAUCACAUAGCAAAGGGACUUUGGUUAAUUUGUAACCGUAGUCCCGCAGGGUUUGCCUCAUCCAAAGCAAUUGCGCGCAACAGUGACCUGCGGCAAUAUACUCAGCUUCGGCGGUGGAAAGAGCGACCGAAUUUUGCUUCUUUGAAGCCCAUGACACCAAGGAUCUUCCCAAGAACUGGCAAGUCCCCGAUGUGCUCUUCCUAUUGAUCUUGCACCCUGCCCAAUCGGCAUCCGAAUAACCAAUCAAAUCAAAUGUGGAUCCCCGAGGGUACCAAAGCCCAAACUUAGGAGUAUAAGCCAAAUAUCUCAAGAUUCGUUUUACGGCCGUAAGGUGGGAUUCCUUAGGGUCGGAUUGGAAUCUUGCACACAUGCAAACGGAAAGCAUAAUGUCCGGUCGAGAUGCACAUAAAUAAAGCAAUGAACCAAUCAUCGACCGGUAUACCUUUUGAUCCACGGACUUACCUCCCGUGUCGAGGUCGAGAUGCCCAUUAGUUCCCAUGGGUGUCUUGAUGGGUUUGGCAUCCUUCAUCCCAAACUUAGCAAGAAUGUCUUGAGUGUACUUCGUUUGGCUAAUGAAGGUGCCCUCUUGGAGUUGCUUGACUUGGAAUCCUAGAAAAUACUUCAACUCCCCCAUCAUCGACAUCUCGAAUUUCUGUGUCAUGAUCCUACUAAACUCUUCACAUGUAGACUCGUUAGUAGACCCAAAUAUAAUAUCAUCAACAUAAAUUUGGCAUACAAACAAGUCAUUUUCAAGAGUUUUAGUAAAGAGUGUAGGAUCGGCCUUGCCAACUUUGAAGCCAUUAGCAAUAAGGAAAUCUCUUAGGCAUUCAUACCAUGCUCUUGGGGCUUGCUUGAGCCCAUAAAGCGCCUUAGAGAGCCUAUAGACAUGAUUAGGAUACUCACUGUCUUCAAAGCCGGGAGGUUGCUCAACAUAGACCUCUUCCUUGAUCGGUCCAUUGAGGAAGGCACUUUUCACGUCCAUUUGAUAGAGCUUAAAGCCAUGGUAAGUAGCAUAGGCCAAUAAUAUGCGAAUUGACUCAAGCCUAGCUACGGGUGCAUAGGUUUCACCGAAAUCCAAACCUUCGACUUGUGAAUACCCUUUGGCUACGAGUCGAGCUUUGUUCCUUGUCACCACACCAUGCUCAUCUUGCUUGUUGCGGAAGACCCAUUUGGUUCCUACAACAUUUUGGUUAGGACGUGGAACUAAAUGCCAGACCUCAUUCCUCGUGAAAUUGUUGAGCUCCUCUUGCAUCGCCACCACCCAAUCCGAAUCUUGGAGAGCUUCCUCUACCCUGUGUGGCUCAAUAGAGGAAACAAAAGAGUAAUGUUCACAAAAAUGAGCAACCCGAGAUCGAGUAGUUACCCCCUUAUGAAUGUCGCCGAGGAUGGUGUCGACGGGGUGAUCUCGUUGUAUUGCUUGGUGGACUCUUGGGUGUGGCGGUCUUGGUUCUUCCUCAUCCUCCUGUUCUUGAUCAUUUGUAUCUCCCCCUUGAUCAUUGCUAUCAUCUUGAGGUGGCUCGUCUUCUUGAUUUUGCUCUUCAUCAUUUUGAGCCUCAUCCUCAUUUUGAGUUGGUGGAGAUGCUUGCAUGGAGGAGGACGGUUGAUCUUGUGUACUUGGAGGCUCUUCUGAUUCCUUAGGACACACAUCCCCGAUGGACAUGUUCCUUAGCGCGAUGCAUGGAGCCUGUUCUUCACCUAUCUCAUUAAGAUCAACUUGCUCUACUUGAGAGCCGUUAGUUUCAUCAAACACAACGUCACAAGAGACUUCAACUAGUCCAGUGGACUUGUUAAAGACCCUAUAUGCCCUUGUGUUUGAGUCAUAACCAAGUAAAAAGCCUUCUACAGUUUUAGGAGCAAAUUUAGAUCUUCUACCUCUUUUAAUAAGAAUGAAGCAUUUGCUACCAAAAACUCUAAAAUAUGAAAUGUUGGGCUUUUUGCCGGUUAGGAGUUCAUAUGAUGUCUUCUUGAGGAUUCGGUGAAGAUAUAACCGGUUGAUGGCGUAGCAGGCGGUGUUGACCGCUUCGGCCCAAAACCGGUCCGGUGUCUUGUACUCAUCAAGCAUGGUUCUUGCUAUGUCCAAUAGAGUUCGAUUCUUCCUCUCCACUACACCAUUUUGUUGUGGCGUGUAGGGAGAGGAGAACUCAUGCUUGAUGCCCUCCUCCUCAAGGAAGCUUUCAAUUUGAGAGUUCUUGAACUCCGUCCCAUUGUCGCUUCUUAUUUUCUUGAUCCUUAAGCCGAACUCAUUUUGAGCCCGUCUCAAGAAUCCUUUUAAAGUCUCUUGGGUUCGAGAUUUUUCCUAUAAAAAGAAUACCCAAGUGAAGCGAGAAUAAUCAUCCACUAUUACAAGACAAUACUUACUCCCGCCGAUGCUUAUGUAGGCAAUCGGGCCGAAUAGAUCCAUGUGGAGUAGCUCAAGCGGCCUGUCGGUCGUCAUGAUGUUCUUGUGUGGAUGAUGGACUCCAACUUGCUUCCCCGCCUGGCAUGCGCUACAAAUCCUGUCUUUCUCAAAAUGAACAUUUGUUAAUCCUAAAAUGUGUUCUCCCUUUAGAAGCUUAUGAAGAUUCUUCAUCCCAACAUGGGCUAGUCGGCGGUGCCAGAGCCAACCCAUAUUAGUCUUAGCAAUUAAGCAAGUGUCGAGUUCAGCUCUAUCAAAAUCUACCAAGUAUAGCUGACCCUCUAACACUCCCUUAAAAGCUAUUGAAUCAUCACUUCUUCUAAAGACAGUGACACCUAUAUCAGUAAAAAGACAGUUGUAGCCCAUUUGACAUAAUUGGGAAACAGAAAGCAAGUUGUAGUCUAAGGAAUCAACAAGAAAAACAUUGGAAAUAGAAUGGUCAGGAGAUAUAGCAAUUUUACCAAGUCCUUUGACCAAACCUUGAUUUCCAUCCCCGAAUGUGAUAGCUCGUUGGGGAUCUUGGUUUUUCUCAUAUGAGGAGAACAUUCUUUUCUCCCCGGUCAUGUGGUUUGUGCACCCGCUAUCGAGUAUCCAACUUGAGCCCCCGGAUGCAUAAACCUACAAAACAAUUUUAGUUCUUGACUUUAGGUACCCAAACGGUUUUGGGUCCUUUGGCAUUAGAAACAAGAACUUUGGGUACCCAAACACAAGUCUUGGAGCCCUUGUGUUUGCCCCCAACAAAUUUGGCAACUACCUUGCCGGAUUUGCUAGUAAGCACAUAAGAUGCAUCAAAAGUUUUAAAUGAAAUGGCAUGAUCAUUUGGUGCAUUAGGAAUUUUCUUCUUAGGCAACUUAGCAUGGGUUGGUUGCCUAGAACUAGAUGUCUCACCCUUAUACAUAAAAGCAUGAUUAGGGCCAGAGUGAGACUUCCUAGAAUGAAUCUUCCUAAUUUUGCUCUCAGGAUAGCUGGCAGGGUAUAAAAUGUAACCCUCGUUAUCCUGAGGCAUGGGAGCUUUGCCCCUGACAAAGUUAGACAAGUUCUUAGGAGGGGCAUUAAGUUUGACAUUGUCUCCCCUUUGGAAGCCAAUGCCAUCCUUGAUGCCAGGGCGUCUCCCAUUAUAAAGCAUGCUACGAGCAAAUUUAAAUUUCUCAUUUUCUAAGUUGUGCUCGGCAAUUUUAGCAUCUAGUUUAGCUAUAUGAUCAUUUUGUUGCUUAAUUAAAAUCAUGUGAUCAUGAAUAGCAUCAAUAUCAACAUUUCUACAUCUAGUACAAAUAGAUACAUGCUCAGCAAUAGAUGUAGAGGGUUUGCAAGAUUCUAAUUCUACAACCUUAGCGUGCAGCAUAUCAUUUUUAGUUCUAAGGUCAGAAAUUGUAACAUUGCAAACAUCUAGUUCUUUAGCCUUAGUAAUCAACUUUUCAUUUUCUACUCUAAGGCUAGCAAGAGAAAUGUUCAAUUCUUCAAUCCUAGCAAGCAAAUCAUCAUUAUUAUCUCUAGGAGUGGAAAUUGAAACAUCACAAACAUGAGAAUCAACCUUAGCAUUUAAAAUAGCAUUUUCAUUCCUAAGGUUGUCGAUUAUUUCACGGCAAGUGCUUAGCUCACUAGAUAAUUUUUCACAUUUUUCUACUUCUAGAGCAUAAGCCUUUUUAACCUUAACAUGCUUCUUGUUUUCUUUAAUUAGAUAAUCCUCUUGGGAAUCCAAAAGGUCAUCCUUUUCAUGAAUAGCACUAACCAAUUCAUUUAAUUUUUCUUUUUGAGCUAUGUUAAGGUUGGCAAAAAGGGAACGUAAAUUAUCUUCCUCAUCACUAGCAUUGUCAUCACUAGAGGAUUCAUAUUUAGUGGAGGAUUUAGAUUUAACCUUCUUUUUGCCGUCCUUUGCCAUGAGGCACUUGUGGCCGACGUUGGGGAAGAGGAGUCCCUUGGUGACGGCGAUGUUGGCGGCGUCCUCGUCGUCGGAGGAGUCGCUUGAGCUCUCGUCGGAGUCCCACUCGCGACAAACAUGGGCAUCGCCGCCCUUCUUCUUGUAGUACCUUUUCUUCUCCUUUCUUCUCCCCUUCUUGUCGUCGCCUCGGUCACUGUCACUGGAUAUGGGACAUUUAGCAAUAAAAUGACCGGGCUUACCACACUUGUAGCAAACCUUCUUGGAGCGGGACUUGUAAUCCUUCCCCCUCCUUUGUUUGAGGAUUUGGCGGAAGCUCUUGAUGACGAGCGCCAUCUCCUCAUUGUCAAGCUUGGAGGCGUCUAUUGGUUGUCGACUUGGUGUAGAUUCCUCCUUCUUUUCUUCCGUCGCCUUGAAUGCAACGGGUUGACCUUCGGAUGGGUCACCAAGCUCGUUGAUUUUCCUCGAGCCUUCUAUCAUGCACUCAAAACUUACAAAAUGCCCGAUAACUUCCUCGGGGGUCAUUUUAGUAUAUCUAGGAUUACCACGAAUCAAUUGAACUUGAGUGGGAUUUAGAAAAAUGAGAGAUCUUAAAAUAACAUUUACCACUUCGUGGUCAUCCCACUUCUUGCUCCCGAGGUUGCGCACUUGGUUUACCAAAGUCUUGAGUCGGUUGUACAUGUGUUGUGGCUCCUCCCCUUUGUUGAGCCGGAACCGACCGAGCUCCCCCUCGAUCGUUUCCCGCUUGGUGAUCUUUGUGAGCUCAUCUCCCUCGUGCGCGGUUUUGAGUACAUCCCAAAUCUCCUUGGCGUUCUUCAACCCUUGUACUUUGUUAUACUCCUCUUUACUUAGAGAGGCGAGGAGUAUUGUUGUUGCUUGAGAGUUGAAGUGCUCGAUUUGGGCCACCUCAUCCUCAUCAUAGUCCUCAUCCCCUACGGAUGGUACCUGCGCGCCAAACUCAACAACAUCCCAUAUGCUUUUGUGGAGCGAGGUUAGAUGAAAUCGCAUUAAAUCGCUCCACCUAGCGUAAUCUUCACCAUCAAAAGUUGGUGGUUUGCCUAAUGGGACGGAAAGUAAAGGUGUAUGUUUGGAAAUGCGAGGGUAGCGUAGGGGGAUCUUACUAUACUUCUUUCGCUCUUGGCGCUUAGAAGUGACGGAGGGCGCAUCGGAGUCGGAGGUAGAAGUUGAUGAAGUGUCGGUCUCGUAGUAGACCACCUUCCUCAUCCUCUUGUGCUUGUCGUCUUUCCGAUGCGGCUUGUGGGAAGAAGAUUUUUCCUUCUUCUCUUUGUGGUGAGGAGAAGAUUUCUUCUCCUUCCCUUUGUUGGAGGAGCUCUUCUUCUUCUCCCUCCUUUUGGUGCGGGACUCUUCCGAUGAAGUGCUCCCGUAGCUUGUAGUGGGCUUUUCGCCGGUCUCCAUCUCCUUCUUGGCGUGAUCUCCCGACAUCACUUCGAGCGGUUAGGCUCUAAUGAAGCACCGGCUCUGAUACCAAUUGAUAGUCGCCUAGAGGGGGGGUGAAUAGGGCGAAACUGAAAUUUACAAAUAUAAACACAACUACAAGCCGGGUUAGCGUUAGAAAUAUAAACGAGUCCGCGAGAGAGGGGGCAAAACAAAUCGCAAGCAAAUAAGGAGAGUGACACGCGGAUUUGUUUUACCGAGGUUCGGUUCUUGCAAACCUACUCCCCGUUGAGGAGGCCACAAAGGCCGGGUCUCUUUCAACCCUUCCCUCUCUCAAACGGUCCCUCGGACCGAGUGAGCUUUCCUUCUUCUCAAUCAACCGGGAACAAAACUUCCCCGCAAGGGCCACCACACAAUCGGUGCCUCUUGCCUUGGUUACAAUUGAGUGUUGAUCACAAGAGCAAAAGAGAAAGAAAGAAUGCGAUCCAAGCGCAAGAGCUCAAAUGAAUACGGCAAAUCACUCUCACUAGUCACUUAGGGUUUGUGUGGAAUUGGAGAGGAUUUGAUCUCUUUGGGUGUGUCUAGAAUUGAAUGCCUAGCUCUUGUAAGUGGUUGAGAAGUGGAAAACUUGGAUGGCAAUGAAUGUGGGGUGGUUGGGGUAUUUAUAGCCCCAACCACCAAAUGUGGCCGUUGCUGGGAGCUCUCUGUUCGAUGGCGCACCGGACAGUCCGGUGCACACCGGACAGUCCGGUGCCCCUGCCACGUCAUCACUGCCGUUGGAUUCUAGCCGUUGGAGCUUCUGACUUGUGGACCCGCCUGGGUGUCCGGUGCACACCGGACAUGCACUGUUUGAUGUCCGGUGCACCGGUAUGGGCAGCCCUGACGUCUGCGCGCGCUGCGCGCGCAUUUAAUUCUGCGCAGAGAGCCGUUGGCGCCACAGAGAGCCGUUGCUCCGCUGUCACACCGGACAGUCCGGUGCACACCGGACAGUCCGGUGAAUUUUAGCGGAGCGGCUGCCGCGCGAACCCGAGGCUGGCGAGUUCAGGAGGCCGAGCUUCCUUGGAGCACCGGACAUGUCCGGUGCACACCGGACAGUCCGGUGAAUUAUAGCACGCCGGCUUCCGAGAAUUCCCGAGAGUGAAGAGUUGGAGUCUGAGUCCCCUGGUGCACCGGACAGGUACUGUUUACUGUCCGGUGGCACACCGGACAGUCCGGUGCGCCAGACCAGGGGUGCCCUCGGUUGCCCCUUUGCUCCUUUAUUGAAUCCAACACUUGAUCUUUUUAUUGGCUAGAUGUGAACCUUUUGCACCUGUAUAACUUAUACACUAGAGCAAACUAGUCAGUCCAAUAUUUGUGUUGGGCAAUUCAACCACCAAAAUUAUUUAGGAACUAGGUGUAAGCCUAAUUCCCUUUCAGCACCAACGAGGAUUAGUCAGAACCUUGCGCAGUUCAGUAUACCCCGGUAAAAAUAUCAGUGCGUCCACGAGAGUUUGUAAUCUAUAUCUUUGUUCUUUAGCUUCCACAUUUACAUUAAGUACUUAUGUUUCAAUCUCUUUAUUCCUAGUUUAGAAUACUUAGAAUUGGAACUUAGGUUGCAUAACUUUUUUUGUGAUAGAGAUAGCAACACUUAGACAAAACAUAAUUUGCACAUUCUUGUUUAAUUGUUUGCAUAGGUUUUUUCUCUAGGGAUUUAUUUGUGGCCUAUAUUAGCAAGAAUUUUAGAAGUCCUUCACCCCCUCCUCUUUGGCGUUUGUGUUCCUUUCAAUUGGUAUCGGAGCCCAAUUUGGCUCAUUUGGAAUGUUUUAGCUUCACCGCUAAUCGAGCUGAUGCCUUUUUGAGGAAGGGUAUGGAUACCCAUAGGCCACCACACUUUGAUGACACUAACUUCCCUUAUUAUAGUGCUAAAAUGACUUGUUACCUAGAAGCAUUGAUCUAGGUGUUUGGAGUGUCACUCGCGACGCGAUGAAACCCCCUAAGAAUCCUGAGAAACUCGCUGUGAGUGACAAAAAGGAAAUUCGUUUGAAUGCUAGAGCUAAAAAUUGCUUGUAUGGCUCUUAGCAUGUAUAUUUUCAAUCAAGUAUUUAUUUCGAAAAGUACUAAUGAGAUUUAGCUAAAAUUACAUGACCUCCAUGACGGCACAUCAAAUGUCCGUGAGCAAAAACAUUGCUUAGUCUUAAAUGGGUAAAAUUCUUUUACAAUGAAAAAAUGAGCUUGUUAGAUAUAUGUAUUCUUGUUUGAAUCUUAUCAUUAAUGUGUUUAGUUCUAUUGUAAUUAAUAUGCUAGGUGAUGCGAACAUUUUAAGGGAGAUCAUCUCCCUUCUACCAUGACGAAAAUAUGGGAGCAUCAUUACCAUCCUUCAUAACUUAGAGGACUUGAGCCAAAUGAUCCCGACACUCAUAAUUAGAAAGAUUGUGGCUUUUGAGAUGUCACAAAAGAUGGGUCAAGAGAAGGCCACUUCACCAACGCCAUAUGUUUUUGCAUGUGAUGAAAAGAAGAAAGGCAAGAAGAAGGCUCCUAGCUCAAGUUCCUCAAGCGAAGAAGAAGAGGAAGAUGAAGAUGAUGGUGAUGAUGAUGAAGAGACGAUCCGACGCGUUGGAAAGGUAAUGAGGAUGAUUCGCAAGAUUAAUCUUAUGGGUGUGCCCCUGCAGAUCAAGGAUCUUCUCUUUAACAUUGAUAGGAAAAAGCAAAUAGAUAGAGGAUGCUUCGUAUGUGGGGAUAAGGGCCACUUUCGGGAUAAUUGCCCAAAUACAACUGAACCCAAGAAAACGAGGAGCAAAUGCAAGGCGCUCACAAGUGUCAAGACUUGGGAUGACUCUUCAAGUGAAGAUGAACCUCCAAGGAGAUGUGACUAUGGCUCUUCAUCACGCUCUUCACGUUCUUCAUCACACAAAUGCCUUAUGGCAAGAGGUAACACAAGUAUUCCCCCUCUAAUGAUGAUAGUGAUAGCGAUGAUGAGGAUAAGCCCUCCGUAUAAGAACUUGUGCAUGCGAUUAACUUUUCUGAUGAUGUGUGCACUAAACAAAAGGCUCAAUUAAAACUGUUGAAAUCUAAGUUGCUUAGCUCUCAAGAUGAUUAUAAAAGUUUGCUAGAAAAAUUUGAAACGUUUGCAAAUUUGAAUUGUAAGCUAAUAACUAAAAUUGAGCCACUAUAGUCUAAAGCUCCAUCCUCAACUACCGAUGAUAGUUUGAUUAAAAAGAAUGAAAAACUUAAGGCUAAGUUAGCCAGCUCUCAAGAUGCUAUUGAAAAAUUGCUAGAGAAAAUGGAAAUUCUUAGCAUACAUAACAAUGAGCUAACUACUAAGCUAGAAAGCAUCGGUAGUACCCAGGAGCAUUUUUUGUCGAAAUCCUUGAAAUUGUUAAAAAGGAUGCUUCUAUGUCUUGCAUGGAUUUAAUUGAUAUUAACUCUAAUCCUUUCAGUCAAGUUGUGGUUAAGAAUGUUGUUGUAGAAACUUGUUUCGAUGAGAUUGCAAUGGAGAAUGAGCUAUUGAGGCAAGAAGUGGCUUGCCUAGGUAAGGUUUUGUAUGACAAGAAAGGCAAAGCCAAACAAACCCAACCUCCUCACGAUAACACCACCGCGGGAGUGAACAAGCCUGUGGACAGUGAAAUCGUGGUUUGUUGGCUAUGUCACAAGGAAGACCACAAGUCUUACCAAUGCAAGGCGAAGACCAGAGGAGAAAUGAAAAAGAAGCCAACAAGCAAAAUCUCCAACACCUACAUCAACAAGGUGGAUAAGAAGACGGCUACACCAUAUUUGAUCAAGAAAAAGAAUAGAAAGGUGAUAACCAUCAAGGCCAACAAGCAAGCCAACAAGGGAAAAGGGGCCAAACACAUCUAGGUACCAAAGGAAAUUAUUUCAAACAUCUAGGUACUCUAUGUUCCUUCCUUGAGGAGGAACUUAAUUCAAUUUUGAAAUUAGACGAUCAAGUUAUUCAUGGUCUCUUCGAUGAAAAACAACGUCUUGUUAAGUUUUAUAAUAAUGUGGGUCUCGCCAUUCGACGAGACAUGCUUUAUUUACUUUCGCAUUGUGAUAUUUUUAAUGAGUUAAACACAUCAGAAACUGAUCCAGUCAGUAAUGGUCGGAAACGAAAGUGAAACGAUGGAGAAUCCUCUUUAAAAUUAUGGCACUACUGUUUAGGCCAUAUUUCGAGGGGGGUAGAACGUCUCGUUAAGGAAGACAUUCUACAUCCCUAAGAUUUUUGAAAGUCGCCUAGAGGGGGGUGGAUAGGCGGAAACUGAAAUUUACAAACUUUAAGCACAAUACAAGCCGGGGUAGCGUUAGAAUAAAAUCCAAUUCCGGAAGAGAGGGGAAAACAAAUCAACCAAUAAAUAAAAGUGGAUGACAUGGUGAUUUGUUUUACCGAGGUUCGGUUCCAAAGAACCUAGUCCCCGUUGAGGUGGUCACAAAGACCGGGUCUCUUUCAACCCUUUCCCUCUCUCAAACGGUCACCUAGACCGAGUGAGCUUUCUCCUUAAUCAAACGGGUCACUUAGACCCCGCAAGGACCACUACAAACUUAGUGUCUCUUGCUUUGAUUACAAGUCACUUAGAGAACAAGAAUGAGGAAGAAGAAAGCCAACCAAGCAAACAAGAGCACAACAAAACACAAAUGAUCCUCUCACAAGUCUAAAUGCACUAGAGUUGAUUUUGAGACUUCGAGCGGAUCGAUCUCUUGGAUUGUGUCUUUGGAGUGGUGUCUAUUGCUCUUGUAUUGAAUGAGAAGGAGUGAAUGAUUGGAUCGGUUGGAGUGGAGGUGGUUGGGGUAUUUAUAGCCCCCAACCACCAAUUCAACCGUUGGGGGAAGGCUGCUGCCGAUGGGCGCACCGGACAGUCCGGUGCGCCACCGGACACUGUCUGGUGCGCCAGCCACGUCAUCCAUCCGUUAGGGUUCUGACGGUUUCGACCGUUGGAGCUUUGUCGUCUGGUGGCAUCGGACAGUCCGGUGCUGCACCAGACAUGCACUAUUCACUGCCCGGUGCGCCUUCUGGCGGCUGCUCUGACUCUGCGCGAACUGUCCGCGCACUAUUCACGUUGCAGACGGCCGUUGGAGUCGACCGUUGUGCUCGCUAGCCGUUGCUACGCUGGUGCACCGGACAGUCCGGUGAAUUAUAGCGGAGCGCUGCCUCAGAAACCCGAAGGUGAAGAGUUUGAGUCGAUCGUCCCUGGUGCACCGAACACUAUCCGGUGGUGCGCCGGACAGUCCGGUGCGCCAGACCAGGGUUCUAUUCGGUUUCUUUUGCUCCUUUCUUUUGAACCCUAACUUUGAUCCUUUUAUUGGUUUGUGUUGAACCUUUAGCACCUGUAGAAUAUAUAAUCUAGAGCAAACUAGUUAGUCUAAUUAUUUGUGUUGGGCAUUCAACCACCAAAAUCAUUUAUAGGAUAGGUUAAACCCUAUUUCCCUUUCAAUUUUAUAGACUUAGAACAAUGGAAAGACUGCAUUAAGGGUAAAUGUGCGAAGCAGAUUAAGAAAAAUGUCAAGCAUAGUACGAGAGUAUUAGAAACAAUUCAUACAGAUAUCUAUGGUCCUCUCCUAGUAAGAACAAUAGAUGGGUUUGAUUCAUUCAUAACAUUCAAAUAUGACUACCCUCAUUAGAUUACAUUUAUCCUAUUACGGAAAGGUUAGAGGCCUUAAACAAGUUUAAACAUUUCAAGGUAGAAGUUGAGAAUCAGCACAACCUGGAAAUAAAGAUAGUAAGAUUAUACCAUGGGAGGAGUGAAAGGGAAAUAUGGUUAAGCAUUUCCUAUAAUUAAUUUUGGUGGUUGAUAGUCAACACAAACACAUGGACUAACUAGUUUAUCUAGAAUUCAUGUAUUACAGGUGCAUAAGGUUCAACAUAAACCAACAAAAGAAAUCAAGUUAGGGACUCAAUUUGAAACGGAGCAAAGAACUUGAGUUUGCUGAAAAUUGGCGCACCGGACUGUCCGGUGCACCAGGGCCGUACAGUUGUCAACCAGCCACUCUCGAGAAAACGAAGGCGCACUCCGCUAUAAUUCAUCAGACUGUCCGGUGAGCCAGCGGAGCAACGGCUAUCUGCGUGCAACGGUCGACUCUAACGGAUGAAUAGUGUCACGGUAGAAGUCAGAGCAGGAAGUCAGAGGGGCACUGGACUAUCCGAUGUGGCGCCGGACUGUCCGGUGCCGCAAGAGGACAAAGCCUCCAACGGUCAACUGGCUCCAAACCCUAAUGGUAGGCUGACGUGGCGGCGCACCGGACAGCGCACAGUACCUGUUCGAUGGCGCACCGGACUGUCCGGUGCGCCCAUCGCGAGCAGCCUUGGCCAACGGCUACUAGGUGGUUGGGGGCUAUAAAUACCCCCAACCACCACAACAUUGGGAAUCCAAGUUUUUCAGAGAUCACAUUCAAUACAAGAGAUAGUGCAUUCACUCCAAGACAUAUUUCCAAAGAUCAAACCCUCUCCAAGCCUAGAAUCCAACUCAAACAUUUAGUGACUUGUGAGAGAGUGUGUUCGUGUUCUUUUGUGCUCUUGUUUCUUGGAUUGCCUUUCUUAUUUCUCAUUCUUGUUCUCAAGUGACUUGUAAUCAAAGCAAGAGACACCUAAGUGUGUGGUGGUCCUUGUGGGGUCUUAGUGACCCAAUUGAUUAAGGAGAAGGCUCACUCGGUCUAGGUGACCGUUUGAGAGAGAGAAAGGGUUGAAAUAGACCCGGUCUUUGUGACCUCCUCAACGAGGACUAGGUUCUUUGGAACCGAACCUCGGUAAAACAAAUCACCAUGUUCAUUCGCUUGAUUCUCAUUUGAUUUGUUUUCCCCCUCUUUGUCGGACUUGAAUUUACUUCUAACGCUAACCUUGGCUUGUAGUGUGUGCUUAAAGUUACAAAUUUCAGGUUAUGCCUAUUCACCCCCCUCUAGGCGACUUUCAAUUGGUAUCAGAGCCAGUGCUUCAUUAAGAGUCUAACAAACUCGAAGUGAUGUCUGGAGAUCACGCCAAGAGGGAGAUCAUGACCGGCGACAAGCCCGCAAGCUCGGGGAGAACCCUCUCAAGGGAGUCCGGCAACAAGCAUAAGGAGGAAUCCUCUUCCUCCAUCAAGUCACAUCAGAGAGGUGACAAGAAGAAGAUGGUCUACUACGAGACUGACUCUUCGUCACCCUCCACAACAAGCUCCGAGUCAUUCGUCACUUCUAAGCGCCAUGACCGCAAGAAGUAUAGUAAGAUGCCUCUUCGCUAUCCCCGUAUUUCAAAGCGUGCUCAAUUACUUUCCGUACCCCUAGGCAAACCACCAUAUUUUUAUGGUGAGGAUUUCUUUAUGUGGAGUGAUAAAAUGAGGCACCAUCUAACAUCACUCCACAAAAGUAUUUAGGAUAUUGUUGAGUAUGGAGCGUAGGUACCUCAAGUCGGGGAUAAAGACUAUGACUCGGACGAGGCCGCCCAAAUCCGGCACUUUAACUCCCAAGCAACUUCUAUACUCCUCGCCCCUUUAUGUCGAGAGGGGUAUAACAAGGUGCAAGGGUUAAAGAGCGCCAAAAAAAUUUGGGACGUCCUCAAGACCGCUCACGAAGGGGACGAGGUGACCAAGAUCACCAAGCGUGAAACGAUCGAAGGAAACUCAGUCGAUUCGUCCUCAACAAAGGAGAAGAGCCGCAGGCAAUGUACAACCGGCUAAAGACAAUGGUAAACCAAGUGUGCAACCUCGGGAGCACCAAAUGGGAUGACCAUGAAAUGGUCAAGGUUAUUCUAAGAUCCCUUGUUUUUCGUAAUCCUACUCAAGUUCAAUUAAUACGUGGGGAUCCUAGAUAUAAACUAAUGUCUCCCGAGGAGGUAAUUGGCAAGUUUGUGAGCUUUGAACUUAUGAUCAAAGACUCCAAACACAUUGUCAACUUGGAGCAAGGCGCCACCUCCACACCCGAGGUGCAACCCGUCGCAUUAAAAGCGACGGAAGAAGAGAAGGAGUCUACAUCAAGUAGGCUUCCAAUCGACGCCUACAAGCUCGACAACGAGGAAAUGGCACUCAUCAUCAAGAGUUUCUGCCAAAUCCUCAAGCAAAGGAGAGGGAAAGACUACAAGUCCCGCUCCAAGAAGGUGUGCUACCGGUGUGGUAAGUCCGAUCACUUUAUUGCUAAAUGUCCAAUUUCUAGUGAAAGUGACAGGGACGAGGACAAGAAGGGGAAGAAGGAGAAGAAGAGAUACAACAAGAAGAACGACGGCGAUACCCACAUAUGUCGAGAAUGGAACUCUAACGAGAGCUCCACCGACUCCUCCGACAACGAGGACGCCGCCAACAUCGUCGUCAACAAGGGCCUCCUCUUCCCCAACGUCAGCCACAAGUGUCUUAUGGCUAAGGACGACAAGAAGAAGAAGGUACACUCUAGAGCCACCCCAAAUAUACAACAUCUAGUGAUGAGGGUAGCUCUAGUGAUAGUGAAGAUAAUUUAAUGUCUCUCUUUGCCAACCUUAGCAUGGACUAAAAGAAAAAAUUAAAUGAAUUAAUUGAAGCCAUUAAUGAGAAGGAUGAACUCUUGGAUAACCAAGAGGACUUCCUCAUUAAAGAAAACAAAAAAUUUGUUAAACUGAAAAAUGCUUAAGCUCAGGAAGUAGACAAAUGUGAAAACUUAACUAAGGAGCUUAGCAUUUGUCAUGAUUUAAUUUCUAGUCUUAGAACUGAAAAUGCUAGUUUAGUUUCUAAGGUUAAAGAAUUGAAUGUUUGCAAUGAUUCUAUUUCCUGUCUUAGAGAUGAGAAUGCUAUUUUAAAUGCUAAGAUAGAAGAAUUAAAUAUUUGCAAACCCUCUACAUCUACUAUUGAGCAUGUUUCCAUUUGCACUAGAUGUAGAGAUAUUAAUAUUGAAGCUAUUGGUGAUCACCUUGUUAUGAUUAAAAAACAAAAUGAUCACAUAGCUACACUGAAUGCCAAAAUUAAUGAGCAUGAACUUGAAAAUGAAAAGUUUAAGUUUGCUUGAAGCAUGCUCUAUAAUGGGAGACACCCCGGCAUUAAGGAUGACAUUAGUUUCCAACAAGGGAGCAAUGUAAAGCUUAAUGCCCCUAAAAGUUUGUCUAAUUUUGUUAAGGGCAAGGCUCCCAUGGUUCAGGAUAGUGAAGGCUACAUUUUCUAUCACUAUCGUGAGCACAAAAUUAGGAAGAUUCAUGCUAGAAAACCUCAUACUAUUUCUCAUCAUGCAUUUAUGUAUAAAAAUGAGGCUUCUAGCUCUAGGCAUACCACAUAUUUUAAAAUGCCUAGAAAGAAAAUUCCUGCUGCAUCAAAUGAACACAAUGUUUCAUUUAAAACUUUUGAUGCAUCAUAUGUGCUUACUAACAAAUCAGGAAAAAUAGUUGUCAAAUAUGUUGGGGGCAAACACAAGAGUCCAAAGACUUGUGUUUGGGGUACCCAAGGUGCUUGUUUCUAACGUCAAAGGACCCAAGACUAUUUGGGUACAUAAGAAUAAGGCCUAAAAUUGUUUUGUGGGUUUAUGCAUCCGGUGGUUCAAGUUGGAUAAUCGAUAGCGGGUGUACAAACCACAUGACAGGGCAGAAAAGGAUGUUCUCCUCCUAUGAGAAAAAUGAAGAUCCCCAACGAGCUAUCACAUUCGGGGAUGGAAAUCAAGGUUUGGUCAAAGGUUUGGGUAAAAUUGCUAUAUCACCUGACCAUUCUAUUUCCAAUGUUUUUCUCGUAGAUUCUUUAGAUUACAAUUUGCUUUCUGUUUCUCAAUUAUGCAAAAUGGCUACAACUGUCUAUUCACUGAUAUAGGUGUUACUGUCUUUAGAAAAAAAUGAUGAUUCAAUAGCAUUUAAGGGAGUGUUAGAGGGUCAGCUAAAUUUAGUUGAUUUUAAUGAUAAUCAAGAUGAACUUGACACUUGCUUAAUUGCUAAGACUAAUAUGUGUUGGCUCUGGCAUCGCCGACUUGCCCAUGUUGGCAUGAAGAAUCUUCACAAGCUUCUAAAGGGAGAACACAUUUUAGGACUAAUCAAUGUUCAUUUUGAGAAAGACAGAGUUUGUAGCGCAUGCCAAGCAGGAAAGCAAGUUGGCGCUCAUCAUCCACACAAGAACAUAAUGACGACUGACAGGCCACUCGAGUUGCUCCAUAUGGAUCUAUUCGGUCCGAUCGCUUACAUAAGCAUCGACGGGAGUAAGUACUAUCUAGUUAUUGUGGAUGAUUACUCUCGCUUCACUUGGGUGUUCUUUUUGCAGGAAAAAUCACAAACCUAAGAGACCUUUAAAGGAUUCUUAAGACGGGCUCAAAACGAGUUUGGAUUAAGGAUCAAAAAGAUAAGAAGCGAUAAUGGGACGGAGUUCAAGAAUUCUCAAAUUGAAGGAUUUCUUGAGGAGAAGGGGAUCAAGCAUGAGUUCUCUUCUCCAUACACACCUCAACAAAAUGGUGUAAUGGUGAGAGCACCUAGAGGGGGUGAAUAGGUGAUCCUGUAAAAUUAAACACUAAAUAGCCACAAACUUGAUUACCAAGGUGUUAGUGAAAUCAAGUGGCUAAGGAACGCGCUCGUGUGAACAAAGCAAUCACAAUAAGCAACACACGAGACACGCGAUUUUUAUCCCGUGGUUCGGCCAAGUAACACUUGCCUACUUCCACGUUGUGGCGUCUCAAUGGACGAGGGUUGCACUCAACCCCUUUCAAGCGAUCCAAUGCUUAACUUGAAUACCACGGUCUUUUCCUUCAGAGUAUUUUUCCUGUUUGCGAGGAAUCUCCACAGUUUGGAGUCUCUCACCCUUACAAUAGAGAUCACAUAGAAAGCACAGAGUAAGGUUGGGAGAGCAACACACGCAAGACUCAAAUCCGCAGCACAACCACGCACACAAGUCACAACUUAUGCUUGAAACACAACACACGGAGUUCACAACUCAAAUGGAGCUCAAAAUGCUAACACAGAGAAUCAAAUGCGUGGAGUCGGAGUCUGGGAGUCUUAGAAUGUUUCUUGUAAGCUUGGUAUUUUCCUCCAUGCGCCUAGGGGUCUCUUUUAUAGCCCCAAGGCAGCUAGGAGUCGUUGGAGGCCAACUUGUAAGGCCAAACUUGCCUUCUGUCGGGCAGUCCGGUGCACCACCGGACAGUCACUGUAGCUGUCCGGUGCGCGAUCGCCUUCCAUAUCUGGUGCAUCCGACCGUUGGUCCUCGGGGUCGGUUAGCGCACCGGACACUGUCCGGUGCACACCGGACAGUCCGAUGUGCCUAACCGACCGUUGCUGCGGGCCACGCGUCGCACGUGGAUUGCGUAGCCGACCGUUGGCGCUGGCGACUAUUGGCUCACCGGACAGUCCGGUGCACCACCGGACAGUCCGGUGAAUUAUAGCUGUACGCCUCUGCUUUUUCCCAAGAGCAGCCGGUUCACUGCCGGCUAGCCUUACCGCCUGUCAGCCGCGAGCAGUAGGCCACGUGGCAGCAUCGGGUCUCCGCCUGGGCGGGGAGCAGGAGUGUAUGUGAUAAGGUCUGGAUCCCACCAGAUCAGGUCUAGAUAUGUGUCGGCACCAGACCCUCGCCUGGGUCCUGAUUGAGGCUCGGGUAUGUUCUGUCCUGGAACCCUGGGACCCCACUAUGGGCGGCCCAGACCCCAUACAGGGGGUCGGAAUCCCAUUCCAGGGGUUCGGUUCGCACACGUGGAGGUCUUGGACCAAACUUGGAGGCCCGGACCGUAUAUACAGGGGUCCGGCACCUUCCCAUUGGGGUCCGGACUCACUGGUGAUGCCUCAUAGUAUGUCACUUACUCUGGGCCAGCAACAACACCUGACCCGAGUGUCCGGUGCACCACCGGACAGUUUGGUGUGCCUGGCCAGAGUUGGUGUUGGCUGCACACAACCAACUCUUUUCCUUUUCUUUUCUUCUUCUUUUGUCACUGUUUCUAGCACUUAGACAAACACAUUAGUAUACACAAUAAUAUACUAAGUCUAGAAACAUAUCUUAUGCUUUGAUUUGCACUCUUCACACAUUUUGCACAUAAGAACUCAUUUAAUGUGUUGGGCAUCUAAUCACCAAAAUACUUAUAGAAAUGGCCCAGGGGCACAUUUCCCUUUCAAUCUCCCCAUUUUUGGUGAUUCAUGCCAACACAUCAAAACGCAACCAAAGAAGUGCAACAUCAAUGCAAUUGAAGACCAAAUUAUUUUUGCUAAUGAUUUUGGCAUAUUUGGAUCACUCUUUGCCACCACUUGGUUUGUUUUUGCAAAUCAAAUUCUUUUUCCUAUCUCUAAGUCAAACACACUUGUUUGAGCGAAUCGAGAGAUAUUCCAAGAGAAAAAUUUAUCAAGUGCCAAAAACUCCCCCUUUUUCCCAUAAUCAAAAUUCUCCCCCAUAAGAGACCAAAUUUUGCAAUAAGAGUAUUUUGAACAAAUCACAAAUUCUAACUCUACUAUUUUCAAAGUUCUCAAGUGGUUGGCUGAUCUAGUUGCUUUGGCCUUAAUUUCUCCCCCUUUGGCAUUAAGCACCAAAACAGAAUCAUUCUUGGCCCUUUAACCCCAUUGCCUCACCAAAAGAUGUCAAUUAAGAGCAAAAAGGCAAUGAGAUUGCAAGUAUGAACUUGGAAGUAAGUACACUAAUACCGGAGUGCAGUGGAAGUCUUUUCAUUGUCCAAGUUCACCUUUCCCUUUCAAUGCACCUUUGAGACUACAUCAAGUAUACUCAAACAAACAGGUUAGUCUCAAAGGGUCAAGUUGUAGCACAUCUCCCCCCUAAAUAUGUGCACCAUUUGCAUAUGGACUUGUGAGGUCCGGGGAGGUCUUGUACAACUUGAGCACCACAAAUAUACAACGAAUAAUGUAAAUGCUUAAAGUAACAUGAUCAAAGGCAUAGAACACAUGUAUGCUAUAGAUCAAUCCAGGUUACGCGAAUCUAAGACAUUUAGCUCACUACGCAACCUGCAAAAUGUUUUCUCAUCCAACGACUUGGUGAAGAUAUCGUCUAGCUGGUUCUCGGUGCUAAUAUGAAAGAUAUCGAUAUCUCCCUUUUGCUGGUGAUCCCUUAGGAAGUGAUACCAGAUGUCUAUGUGCUUAGUGCGGCAGUGUUCAACAGGAUUAUCCGCCAAGCGGAUUGCACUCUCAUUGUCACAUAGGAGUGGGACUUUACUCAGAUUGUAGCCAAAGUCCCGAAGGGUUUGCCUCAUCCAAAGUAGUUGCGCGCAACACUGUCCUACGGCAACAUACUCGGCCUCAGCUGUGGAUAGGGCAACGGAUGUCUGUUUCUUGGAACUCUAGUACACCAGGGACCUUCCUAGAAAUUGGCACGUCCCUGAUGUACUCUUCCUAUCAACCUUGCACCCGGCAUAAUCGGAGUCUGCGUAUCCUAUUAAGUCAAAGGUAGACCCCUUUGGAUACUAGAUCCCAAAGCACGGCGUAGCAACUAAAUAUCGAAGAAUUCGCUUAACGGCCACAAGGUGGCAUUCCUUGGGGUCGGAUUGAUAUCUAGCACACAUGCAUACACUAAGCAUAAUGUCCGGUCUACUAGCACAUAAAUAAAGUAAUGACCCUAUCAUGGACUGGUAUGCCUUUUGAUCAACAGACUUACCUCCUUUAUUGAGGUCGACAUGCCCGUCGGUUCCCAUCGGUGUCUUCGCGGGCUUGGCGUCCUUCAUCCCAAACCUCUUGAGGAGAUCUUGAGUGUACUUCGUUUGGGAGAUGAAGGUGCCGUCCUUGAGUUGCUUUACAUGGAAUCCAAGGAAGUAUGUCAACUCGCCCAUCAUCGACAUUUCGAACUUUUGCAUCAUCACCCUGCUAAACUCCUCACAAGACUUUUGGUUAGUAGAACCAAAUAUUAUGUCAUCGACAUAAAUUUGGCACACAAAGAGAUCACCAUCACAAGUCUUGGUAAAAAGAGUGGGAUCAGCUUUCCCAACCUUGAAAGCAUUAGCGAUUAGGAAAUAUCUAAGGCAUUCAUACCAUGCUCUUGGGGCUUGCUUAAGUCCAUAGAGCACCUUAGAGAGCUUAUACACGUGGUCGGGAUACCUGUCAUCCUCAAAGCCAGGGGGUUGUUCUACGUAUACCUCCUCCUUGAUUGGCACAUUGAGGAAAGCGCUCUUCACGUCCAUUUGAAACAGCCUAAAAGAGUGGUGAGCAGCAUAGGCUAACAAUAUUCGAAUUGACUCUAACCUUGCCACAGGAGCAAAAGUCUCCUCGAAAUCCAAAACUGCGACUUGGGCAUAACCUUUUGCCACAAGUCGAGCCUUAUUUCUCAUCACCACCCCGUGCUCGUCUUGCUUGUUGUGGAACACCCACUUGGUUCCCACAACGUUUUGCUUUGGACGUGGCACCAGAUUCCAGACUUCAUUCCUUUUGAAGUUGUUGAGAUCUUCCUGCAUGGCCAACACCCAGUCCGGAUCCUGCAAGGCCUCUUCUACCCUGAAAGGCUCAAUAGAAGAGACAAACGAUUAAUGCUCACAAAAAUUAGCUAAGCGUGAGCGAGUGGUUACUCCCUUGCUGAUGUCACCCAGAAUUUGAUCCACGGGGUGAUUUCUUUGGAUCGACGCUCGGACUUGAGUUGGAGGGACCUGUGGUGCUUCUUCCUCCAUAACCUGUUCUUCUUGUGCUCCCCUUGAUCACGCUCCUCUUCUUGAGGUACCUGUCCAUCAUCUUGAGUUGGGGGAUGCACCAGCGUCGAGGAAGAAGGCUGAUCUUGUUUCUGUAGUUCCUGUGGUCGCACAUCACCUAUUGCCAUCGUGCGUAUUGUGGUCGUUGGAACUUCAUCUUCAUCUAUAUCAAGAUCAACUUGCUCUCUUGGAGAGCCAUUAGUCUCAUCAAAUACAACGUCGCUAGAGACUUCAACUAAUCCUGAUGAUUUGUUGAAGACCCUAUACGCCUUUGUAUUUGUUUCAUACUCUAGUAAAAACCCUUCUACUGCCUUGGGAGCAAAUUUAGAAUGUCUACCUUUCUUUACCAGAAUGUAGAAUUUGCUCCCAAAUACACGAAAGUAAGAGACAUUGGUUUUGUUACCGGUAAGGAGUUCAUAAGAGGUCUUCUUGAGAAGGCGAUGCAGAUAGAGUCGGUUUAUGGCGUGGCAAGCUGUGUUCACAGCUUUUGACCAAAACCGCUCGGGCGUCUUGAACUCUCCAAGCAUCGUUCUCGCCAUGUCAAUAAGCGUCCUGUUCUUCCUCUCUACCACACCGUUUUGUUGUGGUGUGUAGGGAGCAGAGAACUCGUGCUUGAUGCCUUCCUCCUUAAGAAACUCUUCAACUUGUAGAUUAUUUAACUCGGACCCAUUGUCGCUCCUUAUCUUUUUCACCUUAAGCUCAAACUCAUUUUGAGCUCUCCUUAAGAAGCGCUUUAGGGUCCCUUGGGUUUCUGAUUUGUCCUGCAAAAAGAAUACCCAAGUGAAGCGGGAAAAGUCAUCAACAAUUACAAGACCAUACUUACUUCCCCCGAUGCUAAGGUAGGCAACGAGUCCAAAGAGGUCCAUGUGAAGAAGCUCCAGUGGUCUUGAUGUUGUCAUCACAUUCUUGAUGUGAUGAGUGCUUCCCACCUGUUUCCCUGCCUGACAUGCUGCACAAGGUCUGUCUUUCUCAAAGCAGACAUCAGUUAGUCCUAACACAUGAUCUCCCUUUAGAAGUUUAUGAAGGUUCUUCAUCCCAACAUGUGCUAGACGGCGAUGCCAAAGCCAGCCCAUACUAGUCUUAGCCAUUAGGCAUGCAUCUAGAUCAGCAUUCUCUUUCAAAAAAUCUACUAAAUAGAGUUUGUUGUCUAAUACACCCUUAAACGCUAAUGAACCAUCACUCCUAAAGACAGAUACAUCUAUAUUUGUGAAUAAAUAAUUAUAGCCCAUGUUACAUAAUUGACUCACAGACAAUAAGUUGUACCGAGCGAUUCAACUAAAAACACAUUGGAGAUAGAAUGCUUGGAUGUAAUGGCUAUCUUUCCCAAUCCUUUAACCUUGUCUUGGUUCCCAUCUCCAAAGAUAAUCGAAUCCUGGGAAUCCUUGUUCUUGACGUAGGAGGUGAACAUUUUCUUCUCCCCCGUCAUGUGGUUCGUGCAUCCGCUGUCGAUAAUCCAGCUUGAGCCCCCGGAUGCAUAAACCUGCAAGGGAAUUUACGCUUGGGUUUUAGGUACCCAACUCUUGUUGGGUCCUACAAGGUUAGUCAUAAUAAUUUUUGGAACCCAAAUACAAGUCUUGUCUCCCUUGCAUUUGGAUCCCAACUUCCUAGAAUCUACUUUUUCAUUCUUACAUGAAAGUACAGAUGAAGUGUUACAAGCAUGAAAAACAGUAGUGGGUUUAUUACACAUUUUCCUAGGUGCAUGAUGCACAACAUGAUUUCGCCUAGGCCUACUUCUACCAUGCACAAAAGUGGAACUAGAUGCAAACAUAGCAUGGGAAUCACAAUAAGCAGCAUGAUCAUAACAUCCAUCAUUAUAAGUAUUCCUAGAAUAUUUCCUAUCAUAAAUAUAUGCAUGAUCCUUUUGGGAACUACUAGCCAUAGGGGCCUUCCCUUUCUCCUUGUUGAGAACGGGAGCCUUUUGGCUUGUUAAGUUCUUGGUUUCCUUUCGAAAACCAAGUCCAUCCUUAAUCGAGGGGUGUCUACCAACAGUGUAAGCAUCCCUAGAAAAUUUUAGUUUAUCAAAAUCAAUUUUGCAAGUCUUAAGUUGAGCAUUAAGACUUGCCACCUCAUAAUUUAAUUUAUUAAUAGAAAUAAGAUGUUCAUCAAGGCAUCAACAUUAAAGUCCUUACAUCUAUUACAAAUACUAACAUGCUCUACACAUGAACUAGUUUUAUUUACUUCCUCUAGCUUAGCAUUUAAUUCAUCAUUUAAACUUUUUAAACUAGAGAUAGAUUCAUGGCAAGCAGAUAACCCAGAAGAUGGCAUUUCAUUUUUCUUAGUUUCUAAAGCAAGAGAUUUUUGCACACUAACAAAUUUGUCAUGUUCCUCAUACAAAAUGUCCUCUUGCUUUUCUAGCAGUCUAUCUUUUUCAUUUAGAGCAUCAAUUAAUUUAUUAAUUUUCUCCAUUUUGGCUCUAUCUAAACCUUUAAAUAAACCAGAGUAAUCUACUUCAUCAUCGGAGGAUUCCUCAUCACUAGAAGAAGAGUACUUAGGGGAAUCUCGAAUACAUACCUUCUUCUCCUUGGCCAUGAGGCAAGUGUGGUGUUCGUUUGGGAAGAGCGAAGACUUGUUGAAAGCAGAGGCAGCCAAUCCUUCAUCGUCGGAGUCAGAUGAGGAGUAGUCAGAAUCCCACUCCUUUCCAAGGUGUGCCUCGCCCUUCGCUUUCUUGUAGUUUUUCUUCUUCUUCUUCUUCUUCCCGUACUUUUCUUGUCCAUGGUCAUUAUUGUUAUCAGGGCAUUGUGCUAUGAAAUGACCAGUCUUACCGCAUUUGAAGCAAGAGCGCUUUCCCCUUGUUUCAUUCUUGGAGGGGUACUCUUUGCGUCCUUUGAGUGAGGUCUUGAAGCGUUUGAUGAUGAGUGUCAUCUCAUCUUCAUUUAGUCCGGCAGCCUCAACUUGUGCCACCUUGCUUGGAGCGCCUCCCUGCUACUUGUGGCUUUGAGCGCAACGGGCUGUGGCUCGUAGACGGGUAGUGGACCAUUUAGUGCAUCGUCCACGUAUCGCACCUCCUUCGCCAUCAUGCGCCCGCUCACAAACUUUCCAAGGAUCUCCUCGGGCGUCAUCUUUGUGUACCUGGGGUUUUCACGAAUAAGAUUGACAAGAUGGGGGUCAAUUACAGUAAAUGACCUUAGCAUGAGUCGGACGACAUCAUGAUCCGUCCAUCUUGUGCUUCCAUAGCUUCGAAUCUUGUUGAUGAGGGUCUUGAUCCUGUUGUAGGUCUGAGUUGGCUCCUCUCCCCUGAUCAUCGCGAAUCUCCCCAGCUCGCCUUCCACUAGCUCCAUUUUGGUAAUCAUGGUGGCAUCGUUUCCCUCAUGAGAUAUCUUGAGGGUGUCCCAGAUUUGCUUGGCGUUGUCCAAGCCGCUCACCUUAUUAUAUUCAUCCCUGCAAAGAGAUGCUAGCAACACAGUAGUGGCUUGGGCAUUUUUGUGAAUUUGUUCAUUUAUAGUCACAGGGUUAUCAGUACUAUCAAAAUGCAUCCCAUUCUCUACAAUUUCCCAAAUACUAGGAUGGAGAGAAAAUAGAUGACUACGCAUUUUAUGGCUCCAAAAUGAAUAGUCUUCUCCAUCAAAGUGUGGAGGUUUUCCAAGGGGAAUUGAUAGUAAAUGCGCAUUUGUAUUAUAUGGCAUGCGAGAAUAGUCAAAAGAGUAGUUUUGAUUAACUGUUUUCUUUUUCGACGAAGAGUCGUCGUC